rnacentral:lncRNA from 1 species
AAUUAGUCUAUAUAGAAUAUUGGCUACUUCAAAUGGAAACUUGUGAUCAAAAGUGUAAUUCCCUCUAUCAGUGAACUAUACUUGCCAGGAAAUUAACCCCAGGCGAGUACCACCACCUCCUACUAUUUCUUAGGUGUCUCAGAGUUUGAUGAGGACUUCCAUGACGUGUCUCUUCGACAGGCAGCGAAAUUGGGCAAUUGACUACAUUAACUCCAACAAAUUUAUGCAGUCACCUUCCUCCGGACUAUCCUCUUUCUUCGCGCUUUAGUUGCCCUUAUUUCCCCUUUAAUACAGUCAACAUUAUCUUGUUUGAUGCCAAGGAGACCAAGCCCAGAAACAAUGGCAUUCUUUGAUAUCAACCACCUGGGGACUUUUGAGCUGAGCCAUGACAUCCUGAGAUGGCCUGUUGUGUAAGCCUUCUUCAAAAGGUCAUCCGUUAAUCUUUCUCCUAAUUAGACAUUCAAAACCCUGCAUGGAAUCGAUUUGAGAAGUUGGACAAUAGACAAACUCCAACACAUAUAGACAGUAAAGAAGAAUUUAGACCGCAAUCACUGUGGCUCAACAAAUGGGCCUAUUAAAGCCUAUUAAAAGUUGGAACCAUAUUCACCACUCGCAUUUCCUUAAGAGAGCUAUACCAGAAUUCUGUAAAUUUAAAACUUUUCUUACAUAAUUAACUGUAAAACAAGAGAAAUUGUACUUCCGUAGCAAAGUCUCACUAUUGGUAAGUAUCUGGACUUGGAAAGGAUGCUAGUUGAUGAAGUAAAGGAAAAUUGAAAUCAGACUUUGAGGUGACAGAUCUAUACACUUCAAUAGGAACCACAUUGACAUCAUAUGAGACAAAUAAACAUUCCCCAGUCAAAGUUUAACAAACAAAACAUUAAAACAAGAGUAGGUUGGUCUAUCAAUGUAUAUAUAGACAUGUCGAUCAAUAGACAAAUACGUAAAAGAGGGAGGGAGAGACCUCAAAGCCGUGCUACUCCAAUAACUUCAAAAUUGUUCGUGACCACUCUAUCAAAUCCACGCAAUAGUUGCAUACACUCACCGAUGGGUUUGUCACAGAUAACCUGUUAGGCAUUAAAAAUUGCCCAAAUUAAACAAAUGUUAGACCAGCUUAGACAGUAAACGGAACAAUAUUCUAAUUUUACUUUAUUUAUAACGAAUAAGUGAACAAAGGAAUAAAAAGGAAUUUUGGCAAAGAAUCCUGCAGCUAAUCCCACCAUACACCGCUCUGCAGGCUUAUUUGGGAGUCAAAAUUCUCAAAAUGUACUAAGAAAUGACAUUUGUUCACUAAUCCCACCAACAAGGAGGAAGUGACGUGAAGAGAAUUUACUAAGAAAUGCCAGUGUAUUAAUAUUGAAGGAAAACAUUCACUGACGACCAAAAUCGCUGAUAUAUGCUUAAUUUCUCACUCACUAAGAACGUUCAAUUCAUUCAAAUGAAACUUCCACAGGAAGGUCUCAUUAUUAAGGCUUUAGCUUCACCUCACAUGCUCAACAAUUCAAAUUUGAGGAUGAUAUUUCUCCAAAUGGAGGGCUCUAUUUGGCUUGCCAACAAUCUUCCUCACAACUAUCAUCCUUGCUAUAUCGGUUGCACUGAGCAAUCUUCAUUCUGACAUUUGCCCUAUUAACCUGAGUACACAAGAAUCCGAAACAACUGUUAGAAAUUUUAAUCUUUAUAUACAGCCAAAAUGGUGAAUAAGAUGAUGUACUGAUAAUAAAUACCUGAGUUAAUAAAUAAUUAAGGGGCCGGUAACAAUCUCAGCAUCUUAUCAAGUGGGGAAAGCCUUCGCAACGAAGAUGCUGCUUGCUUUCAAGCAAUAAUAACUUUCCAAUUCCAUAAGAUAGCUUAAUGCCCUUUUAAGAAUAUCUCCACCAGCCUAACAAUUAUUCAUGGAAAUCCAAUUUGCAUUUGUCGCCUUCAAUUUUCUCAUCUUUGUCUAGAGUAUUGUUUUUGCAUUAACUUAGCUAGCUUGCAAACCACCUGCAGAUGGUUUUAAAUAAUGUGUGAGAGUGUGAAUUCAAACGAAUUAAUUAAAUAUGAUGACAGGAGAAACAAAAUUAAAAUAACCACAAGAAGUAGAAAUAUACUUUUGUUAUAUUCAGAGCAUCUCCUACUGUCUUCAUUUCCCUUAGCUCUGUUUCCUUUUGAGCUCGAACGCAAUGCCUCAAGGCUCAAGAUAAUUUGAUGACCAUCAAUCUUUUUGCAGCCACAUGUAGACUUGAAAAACUGUUGGCGGCCCUAAAGAACUUGAAAAUUAGAAAAGAUUCAGAAUGAGUGACUAAAUAUUAUAAUCAAAACUAAUUAAACAAACGCGCCUUGAAAAUCUGAAACUGAAUUAAUCAAAUGUAUAUGCCCCUUCACUGCAAUUGCACGUGGUGGAAAUUUUACUGCGAAGACUUUCUCAAACCUUGAAGAUCACACUCGGCCUGACAACAAAGAAACAAAGUCAAUAUACGAAGAUGAUUUUACUAACAAGUGAGAGCUUACAAAUAUUUGAAGGAUAACGAUCACUCAUAACCCAUAUCCCCAGUAUUCCCUAAUAUUUCACUCAAGUGGGUUCAAGCUCCCAAAAUUCACUACAGUGAAAUGUCAAAACAAAACUCUCUUCUCAAAUUUGAUGAUGAUAUCUCUCGAAGGGAGGCAAAAGAAUCUAACACUGAUCAAAUUGGCUUGUGAACAAUUAAUCUUCCUCGCCAUCAUUCAUACCAGGUGCGGUGAACAAUCUUCAUUCUGACAUUUGCCUUAAUAAGCUGCUUAGUAACCUUAACCUGAUAACUCACACAAACAAAAACAACUUGCCUAAAGUUUAAUAUUUCGAGCAGAACAGUAAAGAAGAUGAUAUCUAUUGAUGCUAAAAUUUGACCUGUGUUACCCUGAUGUCAAAAGUCAUAGCAUCUCAUGUGGGCAAAAUCUUCGCAACACGAGAUGCUUGCAAAAUUGGAGCAGCAUCUUAUCACCUGUAAUUUAAUUGAGACAAUAACUUUCCCCAACCAUUUCAAUGCAUUAUUGGCAACUAAAUUCAGAGGGUGCUAAUUAAAUACCCUUUUAACAAUAUCUUCUUAUUCUUCUUCAAUCUAACAAUUAUUUGGAAAAUCUAAAUGACAAUCAUGCAUCGAUGGCAUGAAAAUUUGGCUACAAAGUAGCCUGGAAAAGGCUGCUCUCUGAAUGAGAGCAUGAAUUCAAACAAAUAUGAUGAAUGAAUAAAUAAAGGCAUAAUACCACAAGAAGUAAAACUUUUCCCCAGAUUUCUGUUUCUGUUUGUGCUAAAACCAAUGGAAACCGAUGGAAAUGAAUUUCUACGAAUUAGACAUAUCAGCCAAAACAGGUACUCCGUACAAGCAAAGUAAAAGAGGGUUACAAAAAAUUUUAAUAUUGAUAUGAUAAUUAAAAUUAUAAUGAAAAUUUCAGUUACCAUAUAAUUAAUAGAUAACUCUGUACACAAUGAUUUAUUGCAUAUUAAGAUUGUAUACCUGAAUUUUAAUUGCUAUACAAAAUAUGGUAGUAUCAUUAGGAGACCGCACCAAAUGUACCGAAUUGAAUGUGCCUUUUCACAGCCAUUGUACAAGCUUUGAAGCUUUACCACAAAUGCUUUCUCAAACCCGUGAUCAUGAUGCACCCGAGAGAUGCAAGAUAUGAAAUUGUUACUACAGCAGGCAAUAACCACAGUGUUAAAACAAAUGUUUAUACAGGAUAAAUGAUUCCAAGAAUGAAACAAGAUAGCAAUGAUGAUCUCAGCACCUUAACAUCACGCAAUAAUAAUCAUCAUGUCUUUCAAGCAGCUAUCCAUCCUCAAUUGAAACAGAGCAGAUCCGGCCAUCACUUCCUUCUUCAAAGUCCAGCAACCAAACGUUGCACAAUAACCACAGUGAUAAUCCUUGGUUACCCCAAUGUUCUCCAUAGAGUCUCCAAAGUCAAUCUAAAAAUGAAAUGCAGGUGGAAAUCAAAAUUCUAUUAACUAAAUAAAAUAUAAAGUGCAAUGCUUGUGCUUGAGCUUGCUUUAACAUCAUCAUAAUAGCGAAUUUUGAUACACCUUUACUUCUCUGUGGUUCAAUCAUUUACUUCCCUGUUCUUGUUUAUUCACAACAAGAUAUCAAUAGAAGAUGAUGGAAAUGAAAUUCUAUAAAAUAAAGCAAGUGAAUUACCAGUAGACCAUUUUAGCAAUCCUUUGGCUAAACUUUUCAUUUUCUUAGCACACUGUCCUGCAGUACUGCCUGCAUCAUUAAAACCAAAUUAGAUUGGACCUGUGAAUUGCUAGUGUGGUUCUGACAUUUCCUCGAAUCCCUGGUGAACAUAAUUAAACUCGUAUGAAAUAAAACAAAGUGGGCUAAUGUACUACUAAAAACAAUUACACAAUUACUUUAAAGAAUUAAUGUCACAUAAAUUAUAUAUAAAAAAAUACGAUUAUCAUUAUACAAGAUAAAAUUGAUAAUUUAGUUUUCGACAUUACUGCAAAUGUAUGAAGGAGAUUUUGUCACUCAGGAAGUUACACAUAACAAAUUUCCGUACAUUAAAAAAUAAAUUACAUUGGGAUUUUCUAUGAUGUUGUAUGAAAUUUUACAAAAAAGCACAUAUUUUUUAAAAGUAAAUAAAUAUAGAAAUUUCAACAGACUAAACUUGUAUUUUUUUUUUAUUUAAUCUUUAGAAAACAAGUUUAACAUAUUUGAUAACUAGGAAGUUUUACAUAUUUAUACCAUGAUUGAUUCUAUAUAGAAUUAUUAAAUAAUAAAGUAAUGCCAUAAUCUAAUUGGUCUUGUUAUUGACAUGUACUCACGCAUUCUAUAUUUCUAACUUUGUACAUUUUAUUGAUAUGUACAAAUUGUCAAUGUUUGCAGUGUCGUUGUUUGAAGUAACAACAAAGUAAAAUAGAGGUGAGAAAUUACCGGUGGGUGAUAGUAAUUGCAACCAUUCGAGAAUUUACCACUCGGACUCGAUGUAGGGAAUGUGAGAUAUCUUAUGCCAGUCUUCUCCUUCCCCCUCUCUAUAACGGUUUUCCAGAAGAGGACAUCUGUGAAUAAUCAAUUCCUGCAGCGUCGUCGUCCGAAGAAGGUAAUCCGGCAGCACCUUUAAUUUGGGGCAAUACCCAAUUUCCAAGGAAGAAAGACGUGGUAUGUCUGUUGUCUUGCGAUCUUCUAGAAUGGGCAGUUCUUCUAGAAGAUCACAAAAAUAAAUACGCAGUUCCUGCAGUGCCGUCGAUUGAAGAAGGUAAUCCGGCAGCGCCUUCAAUUUGGGGCAACCUCUAAUCCACAAGGAAGAAAGACGGGGCAUGAUGGAGAUGUUUUCCUUCCUCGUAAUCCUGUAAUUCCACUCUUCCAACUCUUCCAUUCCCCCAAUGUCGAGUGAUUUUAAUUUGGGAAAGGCAGUAACUGAUGAUGACGAUGAAGAUGAAGAUGGGUCAUCCUCACUGCUUUCUUCUAUUCCCAAAAACUCAUUACCCACUCUUUUUACACUUUUCAAAAUGUAUAGUUGGAGUUUUUCCAGAGGUAAUUUUCCCAAAGGAGGCAAAUGCUCACAGUUAAAACAAAACCAAAGAUUUAAUUCCCUUAGAUAGGUUAGUGAAGUCAACCAUUUGGGAAAAAUGUCGCCUCCGUAGAAACAAAUCUGUAAUUCCUCUACAUUCAAAUGCGGUUGUAAAGCUUCAAGAAGUUGUUUAUCUUUCUCAUUCUUCCUCCUCCCUUCUUCGCCUUCCCCAUCUACGACUCCAUCAAACACAAGAUGCAAACGAAGGAGGUUUUCCAUAUUGUGAAGUCCUAUUCUCUCAGCCUCAUCUAAAUGUGAUACAUUACUCAGCCCUUCUAUUCCACAUUUACGAAGGAGUUGAAGAUUUUUCAGAGAUUCAAGCCUACACGUGCUGCCGCCAUCAACACCUCCACCCACAACAAACUUUUCUAAUGUUCGAAGACUGGUUAAUUUGGAAAUCCCUAUUGGCAUGUACUUCAAUGAAUAAGUUUGACCAUUCAGUAAACUCCUCAUGUUCAUUAACUUCCCAAUCCCCGCUGGCAAUUCUCUAAGAUUUGGGCACCGCCUAAUAUCUAGCUUUCGUAAAUUAUAUAAUUCACACAAAGUCUCAGGCAGUCUCUCUAUACAUAAUUCAGAUAAAUUAAGAUAUUUUAAAUGUAUCAAUUUUCCAAUAUUUUCUGGAAUUUCUCUAAUGAAAUUUGGGCUAGGAUGAGAAAAUGAGGACAACUGUCUUAUAACUAAUGCCCUUAAACACGCCAAUUUACUAAAUAACCCCGGAAGGAUGCUACUACGAAGAGACGGACCUUUAUCAUAAAUUAAGAGGGUCCGCAAUCUAUUAAGUCCAUAAAUGGACAUAGGAAGUGGAGCGCCUCCUUCAAAAUUUAAUCCUAGGUGACAGACUUUGUCACCAAAAGAAUUUAUGACUGACUCUUUGUUACCAUCAAUUUCUAGCCACAAACAUUCUUUUCUACUUACAAAUUGGGCAAAAUCAUGUACUAUGUCAUGCAUUUUACACCUCAUAAACUCAUUAUCGCCACCGUAUGUUUCAAACUCUUGAAAGAAAGAGUGUGUUGCUAAGAUGUUGAAAUACUCUUCUCCAACCAUCUCCAUUUCUUCGUCUUCUUCUGCAUUAAGGUAACCUUGAGCCAUCCACAUAUCAAUCAAUUCCUUUUUAUGCAUAUAGUGGUCUUUUGGAAAGACAGCACAAUAUGAGAAACAUUGUUUUACCAUAGAAUUAGAGGGCAAAUCGUUAUAACUCAACAACAAAGGAGCCAAAAGACCUUUCCUAAUCUCUUCUACCUUCCACAUUUCACUCUCUAAAAUUCUUUGCCACUCUUUUACUGUACAUUUAGAGCGCAAGAGAUUCCCUAUUACCUUUACAGCAAGAGGCAGGCCUUUGCACUUGCGUGCAAUUUUUCGUCCGAUUGGUUCUAAUUUUUCACAAUCCUCGAAAGAGCGACCGAAAAAUGCCAACCGCUUGAACAACAACCAGCAUUCCUCUUCAGCUAGUUGUUCAAUGGAGAUAAUAUCUAACUCUAUUGUUCGCAUCAUACGUGCAACUGACUCAUUACGUGUGGUAACCACAAUUUUACUUCCAGGAAGACCAUUCUUUAGACAAAAGAAGAAUUGAUCCCAUAUAUUAUAAUUCCCAUCCCAUACAUCAUCUAAGACAAUAAAAAUUUUUUUUCCUUCAAUUGAUCUAUGGAUAUGGCUCAUAAGAGAUUGGAAUUCGCUUAAACCAGAAGCUUCUUUUGACUCGCCUAGUCCUUCAAUAAUUGCUUUGGCGACCCUCAUCUCAUCAAAAGUGUCUGAUACACACACCCAUAUAACUUUUUCAAAAUUUAUUUUCACCCCAUCAUUAUUAUAGGCUAGUUGUGCAAGAGUGGUUUUACCUAUACCCCCUAACCCAACCAGUGAGAUGAUAUGAGGAUGUUGUUCGCCACUCUCACCCAACAACUUACCUAACAGCUCAUUUUUCUCGUCAUCUCUACCAAAAAUCUCUCCCUCAUCAAUCAAGGAGGUGGUUGGCACUCGCUCUGAUUUCUUAACAUUGUUACUCACAUUCUCAACAAAUUUAAACAUAUCUUUUCGAGUGGCAAUACCAUCUAGCUUUUCACUGAUUUCGCUAAUCUUGACAGCAACAUCAUCACGAAGAAUGAGUUGUUUGAAACCACCUAAGUAGUUUGAGGCAGCACGAAAGAAGGAACAUACCUUCUUCUUAGGAGGAGCAAGAGCAAGAGCAUCGUCAUCAUCGCCGCCCUCAUCAAGCUGCAAUUUCCGUGUUUCAGUGAUCCACUCUUCCAACACAUCUUCCAUGUCGUAGGAUGCGUCUCUGAGCUGAUCCAGCCAAAGAGUAACAGCUUUGUCCUGCUUCAUUUGCCUCUGCUCUGCAUCUUACAGUACAGCUUGAAUGACUUGAAGAUUGGUAGUAAGCUUUCCCACUUCUUGUUCGACACCCGUCACAAGCCUCCACUUUUCUUUCACCUGAUCUUGAGCAAUGGAUUUCAGCUGGUCCAGGAGAGAGGAAACGAUCGCAUGAGCCAUUCAGAGGAAAGUAGGUUUUAUGUAUUCUGUGAGAAUGUUCAUUCAAGCAUGUUUGCAUUCUUCUUAUACCAUAUGAGAUAUUUAAUUUUUACCCUCGAGUCAAUGUCAAUAAUUGUACAGCGUCUGCCCUGUUUCUCUGAUUCAUAAUAAUUCAUUGUUAAUUCUGCAGAGUACACAGCGUCAGCACUUGUGAAAUUUCUUACAUUUGUAAAAUCAUGCAGCCGACCCUUGUGAACUAACUAAUUAACUAAAUUUUCUUACAUUGUCAAUAAGUUAUGAUUAUUGUGAAUUUUCCAUCCCCUAUAUAAAUUCUUAGAUUUAUUUAAAUUGUGAGUCAUAGAAGUAUAUUACCUAAAUUAUUUUAUCAGGCCAUGUUCCGAUACUAGGAGUAAGUACGGAAUUGGACUAAUUUUGUGAUUAUCUAUUUAUCUCAUAUUUGAUAAGCUUAAUUGAAUUGGAUUUAGGAACCAAAUUUAAAUUUAAUCCUAAAAUUAUGGAAUUGAUAAUCCUAAUUUACGCAUAACUUUAGUUGGGAUAAAAUUAAAGAAAAAAAGUUAUCCAUUUAUGAGACUUUAAUUUAUAUCAUUAUCGUUUAUUUAUGCUUAAUAUUUAUUUAUUUUUUUUAAUUUAUGAUUUACUUAAAAUUUAUUUUUAUUUAUUAUCUAUCAUCUGAUUAAAUUAGAACUUUACUUCUACUAACUCUUGAUAUUAAUUUUUCAUUACUUGCAUAUUUGAUAAUUUGUCAAUAAAAUUAACCAUUUAAUAAUUUAUUGCAUAAUAGAUUGUAUUAAACUUACUAAUCACUAAAAAAAUAUUUAAAAUCAUCAUGAAAAUUAAUAAUACCGUCAAUUAAUUGAUUUUAUAUACUUUUUUAAAUAUUUGAUAAAAAAUAAUUAAGUAUUUAAAUUUUUAUUUCAUUUUUUUAUUUGUUUAUUUUAUUAUGGAUACCCAAUAACUUGCAAUAUAAUUAAUUUUCUUAUUCAGACUACUCAGCAUCAGCUCCUAUAAAAUUUCUUACAUUAUAAGCAACAAAAUAUUUAUAAACUACAACAAAGGGCUUAAAUCAAUCCACCGAUUAACCUUUUGAAGUUAUAUAUAAUAUAUUAACUGUUGAUCUAGAAUAGUCUUAGUGGAUAGAUUUUUUUUAAUUAUAAAUAUCAAUAAAUUUUUUUUAUCGUUUAAUAGAUAUUGAUGAAAUUAUAUGGAGUAAUUUCGCCCAAUCAUAUAUAUUAUAACAAAAGUUGGAAAAGAGAAAAAUAAAACAAAAGUUGGAAAAAUCAUGCAGUCGUUGGGAAUUUCGAAAUUUGAGAAUUUUGCCCGUAGCUACAGGCUGCAGCGAUUUUUGACUUUCAUGAUGCAAACAAACCAAUCAUCAUUAAUUUCAAUAGAAAGAAGUAUUCUAGGUGGAAUUGAUUUCUGGAGCAGAAUAUGAUGUAUUUGGGACUUCCUACUCUAUUAGAUAGGUUAAUAACAUGUUAAUUGUCACAUCAUUAAUUUUAGAUUAUAAAUUUUAUAUUCAAACUUUGUAUGACUGCUCCUUUUUCAUUUGAAAAAAAAAAAAAAAAUUAACUUCUAGCAUGAUCUAAUUAAUUGAUCUUGUUUCAAAAGAAUCAAAAAAAUAAAUAAAAUAAAAUAAAGUAAUGCCAUAAUCUAAUUGGUCUUGUUAUUGACAUGUACUAAUGCAUUCUAUAUUUCUAACUUUGUACAUUUUAUUGAUAUGUUUCUCUUGAGAGAUAAGAAUCAUUAUGUGGCAAAAUUUUAUUAAAGCUGGGAUUAUUUAUGUUCUAAUACUUUGAACAUUAAUUUUUAAUCUACUCUUUAGAAUACAAAAAUAAUCCUUACCUAAACAUCUUUCAUAAAUGUUUUUUGCUGGGGCUGCUAAAAUUCAUAAUCUAAUAUUAGUUGAUGUGGCAUGUGUCCUAUCACAUAAAUGUAGAUAAUAAUAAUUAAUUCAUUAACAAAAUGAAAAAUGUUAGUUUACAAAAUACAAAUCCGAAUUUUUUGUGUGUUAGAGGGAAUUUAAAAGGGAGAGACUAAACAAAUGUGGUGACAAAUUACACGUAUUACCAAAAUUGAAAAUACAAAGUUUAGGCAACUGGAAACAUCUCUGUCAAUGGCAAUGAACCCAUUACCUCCAUUUAUAAUUAACCAAAAAUCAAAUAAAUUAAAAAAGAAAACACAAAGCAAGGAUAACUACUAGUUGUUUUGAUCAUCCCUGCUUCUUUUUCUUAGCAUAGCUCUUGUAAUGAAAAUUAACAAAAAGGGCCAAAAGGGAAGCAUUAAACACAGUAUUGAAGCACCAACCCCAAAACACAGGGAAACCAAAUCCCGUGAAAUGAUAAUUCAGCAUCAAAAUGAAAAAUGUUAUGGAUGGCUGUGAUGGGUCUGAGGAUGUGGGGUCCAAUGAGAGGUGAUGAUGAUGGUGAUGUUGAUGUUGAUGUGUGGUAGAGGAUGGAUGUGAGGGAGAGGUAAGUAAUGAUGGAGUGAAUGAGGAUGCGUGGGAAGGAAGCUAGGGUUUGGUUUUGAGUCCAUGUGAAGUUGAGGACUUGUGGGUGGCUUACAAGCAAUAUUGGAGUGUUAAGCUGAUUGAAUUUGAACAGUGCUACUCCAAUAACAUCAAUAUGGUUGAUGACCGCUCUAUCAAAUCCUUUGGAUAAAUGAAUUGACCGCUCUAAAAUAAAUGAAUGAGAUAGGAUAAAUUCGAAUAAAUUAAUCUGCAUAAUGACACAAGAAACAAAUAUAAAUUGACCGCAAGUAGAAAUAUACUUUUGUUAUAUUUAGAGCAUCUUCCAAUUUCUUUCCCUUGAGCUCUGUUUCUGCGAGUGCUCAAAAGCAAGACACAGGCCUCAAGAUAUAAUUAUCAUCAUCAAUCUUUUGCAGCCACAUGCAGUACUUGGAAAAUGUUUAUGGCCCUAAAUAACUGGAAAAUCAGAAAACAUUAAGAACAAGAGACUAAUCAUUUUAAUCGCAACAAAACAUGCACACUAUGAAAAUAUAAAAUUGAAUUACUUCGAAUGGAUGUGCCUCUUAACAGGAAUUGCACAAGCUAAUGAGCAAGUGAGCCUUCGAAUGAAAAUCUAAAUCCUUGCAGCCUGCGUCAUGCAGCUUCUCCCAAUGAGUAAGUGAACCUUGAACAGUUAUCACUCAGCUCAAACUAAAAUGAAAUUACUGUGGACAUGUGAAUUAAAAAUAGAUGUAAAAGUAGUUUUCUCAAAGCAAAGUCAAGAUAAGAGAUUAACUCUACUCCUUAUUUACAUUAAAAAUAACGAACAAUGGAAAACAGAGCUAGAGAAGAACUUACCUGUGCGUUGAGAUCAUGUGGGGAAUGUGAGAUAUCUUCUUAGAUUUGGUUUGGGAAACUCCAUCUUCUUCUGAAAGUUCUGACAGUUCCCUAAACCCAGGCCAAUACAAUUGCAACAGAAACUGCAUGCUUUAACCAGUAUCUGAUCAUCUCCUGUUAUUUCAAGACAAUAAUAACUUAAUUGCAACACUGCAUGCUUCAACCAAUAACCUUUUCGACUUCAACACUUCUUUUGUCCCCCACCCGAUGCCCUUUUCACAAUUCUAUGAAUCAGAUAAAUCAGCCUUCUUCACAAAACUAAAAUUUCGGUCCCCAUGUAGCAGAGUUUCUUAUUUUUCCUUUGUACACAAAUGCAGACACUUAAGCAAAUUAAGAUUUCUUACCUAAAGCAAAUUAGGAUUUCUUUUGAUCCUGCAAGUUACAAUUUCAGUCCCCAUGUAAUAGUAAAAAUUUGUACACAUAUUUAUAUAGCAAAUUAAUAUUUCAUACCUCACAAUAUUUAUCAUAACCAUCAAUCUUUAGAAACCACAUGCAGACUUGUUAAACUGUUUAUGGCCCAAAAUAACAGGAAAAUUAGAACAGAUUUUUAAGAAUGAGCGACUAAAUAUUUCAAUGGCAACUAAAAUUACACAUCUUGGAAAUCUGAAACUCAAGUACUCAGAACACUGUAAGUGCAUUGCAUAAUCUUGGGUAAAAAAUACACAGCAAUUAAACAAGCUGGGAACUUUAGUGCAAAUGCUUUUUCAUAAUCUUCAAUUGCAUAAGUCAGUUAGAAUCAAUCUUUCUUAAUCUUUCAAUUCACAUAUGAGAGCCUGAUAACACAAGGAAACACUGUAAGUGAAUUGUCAACUGUGACAAAUUUUGGGUAAAAAUUAUCAACUGUAGUUAUCUGCAUAACAUUUAGUGUCAACCCCAAAUUCCUUCCUGAUCCGUGGAAGCAUUUCAGCCCACAGACGGUUAGCUUUGUCAAUAUACGGCAACUCAGGAUUCUAUAUUUAAACUAUGAUGUUUGAUGACUUGCUGAUACAAAAGACAUUGCCCCAAGCACUUUUUUACAUUAGCUAAAAUCAAGCCAGUCACUUCCAUUUGUUGCAGUUUUAAUGCAGAAAGAAAAAAGGGGGAAAAAAAUCUGCAAGAUGCCACUUGUAAUACCGCAUGUUCGCAGGAGCAGAGUUAAAUAAUUACAAAAUUACAUUCUUUAUUGGCCACAAAGCUGCCUAGAAAAAGGCUUUAAAUUCUUAAUGAGACAACGUAUUCGAACAAAUAUGGUGAAUGAAGAGACAAAGGCAUAACACCUCGGGAAGUAAAGCUCUGUUUCUGUAUGUGCUCAAACCAAUGGAAACCCAUGGAAAUGAAUUUCUACGAAUUAGACAUGUCAGCCAAAACAGGUACUCUGUACAAGCAAAGUAAAAGAGAGUUACAAAAAAUUUUAAGAUAAUUAAACUUUUAGUCACCAUAUAAUUAAUAGAAAACUUUGUACACAAUGAUUUAUAUGAGAUUAAGAUUGUAUACCUAAGUUUUAAUUGCAAACUAAAUAUACACAACAUGAUAUUAGCAUUAGAAGACUGCACCAAAACGCACCGAAUUGAAUGUACCUCUUAACGGCCAUUGUACAUGCAUUGAAAGUUUACCGCAAAAGCUGUUUCAAACGUGAUGCAUCUUAGAGAUGCAAGAUGAGAAAUUGUUAUUACAACUAGCAUUGAAACAUGUGUGAAAACUGUUAAUGGACCUAAAUAACUUGAAAAUCAGAAAAGAUUAGGAAUGAGUGACUAAGCCUGCUAAUCGCAACUAAACGUGCAAACCUUGAAAAUCCAAAAUUGUACUCGAUGAAUGUGCAAUUGCUCAAGCAGGUAAAUUUCCUGCAAAGGCUCUUACAAACCCUCAAAGAUGAUACUCUACAUACCAUGGUAACCUGAGUAACAAAAAGAAACACAGUGAAUAUUAAAGGGCAUUCUGACAAUGCAAAUUUGUGUAAAUUAACAACUGCGGUUACCUGCAUAAUAGUGUCAAUACCGAAUUCCUUCCUCCAUGGAAGCAUGUGAUCAGCCCACAUGUGCUUUGCUCUGUAGCUUUUGAAUACCUGAAAUUGUUAUCACAACCAACGGUGAAAAAUGGGUGAAAAAAGGGUAAUAGUAGCAUAAUUGAAUUUGCUUAUAGAGGAUAAACCGAUCAAAGAAAAAAACAAGACAGAAAUGAUGAUCUUAGUACCUUAAUAUCAUGCAAUAAUAAUCAUCAUGCCUUCUAGGCAGCUAUCCAUCCUCAAUUGAAACAGAGCAGACCUGGCCAUCACUUUCUUCUUCAAAGUCCAGCAACUGAACGUUGCACACAACACCACAGUGGAAGUUCCAUCACCAGCCUAAUCCUUGAUUACCCCAAUGUUCUCCAUAGGGUCUUCAAAGUCAACCUAAAAAUAAAAUGAAAAUGCAAUGCAUUAUUAUUAGGGAUCUAGUGCUUGAGCUUGCUUUGACAUCAUGGUAUUAGCAAAUUCUGAUAUAGCCAAAAUGGUGAAUAAGAUGACGUACUUGAUAAGAAAAACCUGAUUUAACAAAUAAUUAAGGAGCCGGUAACAAUCACAGAAUCUCAUCAUGUGGGGAACGCCUUGGCAACAGAAGAUGGUGCUUUCAUUCAAGCAAUAGCAACUUUCCAAUUUCAUAAGGUAGUUUAAUGGCCCUUUUAAGAACAUCUGCACCAGCCUAAUAAUUAUUCAUGGAAAUUAAUAAUCAGAAUCAUGUUAGAUUGAGAGAUGAAACAUAAUAAGCGAUUUGGCCACCAUAUAUGCAUUUAUCACCUUCAAUUUGCUCAUCUUUGUCUAGAGUAUUGCUUCUGCAUUAACUUAAUUAGCUUGCAAGCCACCUGAACAUGGUUUUAAAUAAAGUGUAAGAGCUCGAAUUCGAACGAAUUAAUCAAAUAUGCUGACAGGAGAAACAAAAGUAAAUAACCACAAGAAGUAGAAAUAUACUUUUGUUAUAUUCAGAGCAUCUUCUUGCGUCAAGUUCUUUUCCUUUAGCUCUGUUUCUGUUUGUGCUCAAACGCAAUGGCUCAAGGGCCAAGAUAAUUUUAUGACCAUCAAUCUUUUUGCAGCCACAGCAGACUUGAAAAAAUGAUUGUGGCCCUAAGGAACUUGAAAAUUAGAAAAGAUUCAGAAUGAGUGACUAAAUAUUAUAAUUGAAACUAACUAAACAUUAUAAUCGAAACUAAUUAAACGCCUAGAAAAUCUGAAACUGAGCAAUUGCUUCUGGUGGAAACUUUACUGCAAGGACUUUCUCAAACCCUUGAAGAUCACACUCUACCUGAUAACAAAGAAACAGUCAAUAUACGAAGAUGAUUUUACUAACAAGUGAGUGCUUACACAUAUUGGAAGGAUAAUGAUGAUUCAUAACCCAAAUCCCCAAUACUCCCUAUUAUCUCACUCAAGUUCGAGCUCCCAGAAUUCACUACUGUGAAGCUCUCACAACAAAAUUCCCUUCAAAGAUUCUCUACUCAAAUUUGAUGAUGAUGUCCCUCCAAAGGAGGCAAAAAAUCUAACACUGAUCAAAUUGGUUUGUGAACAAUUAAUCUUCCUGGCCAUCAUGCAUACCAGGUGUGGUGAGCAAUCUUCAUUAUGACAUUUGCCUUAAUAAGCAGCUUAGUUUCCUUAACCUGAUAACUUACACAAACAAAAACAACUUGAUUAAAGUUUAAUAUUUAGAGGCAGAACAGUAAAGAAGAUGAUAUAUAUUGAUACUAAAAUUUGACCUGUGUUAUCCUGACGUCAAGAAUCACAGCAUCUCAUGUGGGCAGAAUCUUCGCAGUACAAUAUGCUUGCAAAAUUGAAGCAGCAUCUUAUCACCUGUAAUUUAAUUAAGACAAUAACUUUCCCCAACCAUUUCAAUGCAUUAUUGCCAACUAAAUUCAGAGGGUGCUAAUUAAAUAGCCUUUGAACAAUAUAUUCUUAUUCUUCUCCAAUCUAACAAUUAUUUCGAAAAUCUAAAUGACAAUCACGCAUCGAUGGCAUCAAAAUUUGGCUACAAAGCAGCCUGGAAAAGGCUUUACUCUCUGAAUGAGAGCAUGAAUUCGAAACAAAUAUGAUGAAUGAAGAAAAUAAGGCAUAAUACCACCAAAAGUAAAACUUUCUCCCAGGGCUCUAUGUUUCUGUUUGUGCUAAAACCAAUAGAAACCGAUGGAAAUGAAUUUCUAGGAAUUAGACAUAUCAGCGAAAACAGGUAUUCUGUACAAGCAAAGUAAAAUAGGGUUACCAAAAUUUUUAAGAUUGAUAUGAUACUUGAAAAAUAGGUUUGCACAGAAUUAAUUAUUCUGUCAUUGAGAUUGUUCUUUUAUAGAGAUUUCCAGCGCACAUAAAACUAUUAAAUCAGUAAACUAAAUCACUGAUUUAAGGAAAGAAUAAUUUCUAGGUAGAUUUUCCUAAAAUACAUAGAUUUGCACCUAAAUAGCUAUGUUACAGCUAAUGACUAAUUUACAGCACAUAUUUUUUCUAAUUUUCUAACACUCCCCCUCGAGCUGGUUUGAAGAUAUCCUCCAUAGCCAGCUUGCCAACUAGAAAAUUGAACUGUUUUGUGUGUAGUCCUUUGGUAAAGACAUCAGCCACUUGUUCUCCAGUAGGAAUGUGCUCCAUAUGAACCAAUCCAUUAUCUAUCUUCUCCUUGAUGAAAUGCUUGUCAAUCUCCACAUGUUUUGUGCGGUCAUGAAGGACUGGAUUGUGUGCUAUUGAGAUUGCUGCCUUGUUGUCACAGUACAACUACAUAGGAGAUGAUUUUGUCGCUUUUAACUCUUCCAACAGCCUCCUAAUCCACAUGAUCUCACAAAUGCCAUGGGUUACAGCUCUAAAUUCAGCCUCAGCACUGCUCCUAGCUACCACAUUCUGUUUCUUGCUUCUCCAAGUAACCAAAUUACCACCUACAAAUGAACAGUAUCCAGAAGUGGAUCUUCGGUCUACUUUGCAGGUAAAUUUACUGCAAAGGCUCUUACAAGCCCUCAAAGAUGAUAUUCUACAUACCAUGGUAACCUGACUAACAAAAAGAAACACAGUGAAUAUUAAAGGGCAUUCUGACAAUGCAAAUUUGUGCAAAUUAACAACUGCGGUUACCUGCAUAAUAGUGUCAAUACCGAGUUCCUUCCUCCAUGGAAGCAUAUGAUCAGCCCACAUGUGCUUUGCUCUGUAGCUUUUGAGUACCUGAAAUUGUUAUUACAACCAGCGGUGAAAAUUGGGUGAAAAAAUGGUAAUAUUAGCAUAAUUGAAUUUGCUUAUAGAGGAUAAACCGAUCAAAGAAAACGACAAGAUAGAAAUGAUUAUCUUAGUACCUUAAUAUCAUGCAAUAAAAAUCAUCAUGCCUUCCAGGCAGCUAUCCAUCCUCAAUUGAAACAGAGCAGACCUGGCCAUCACUUUCUUCUUCAAAGUCCAGCAACUGAACGUUGCACACAACACCACAGUGGAAGUAGUUCCAUCACCAGCCUAAUCCUUGAUUACCCCAAUGUUCUCCAUAGGGUCUUCAAAGUCAACCUAAAAAUAAAAUGAAAAUGCAAUGCAUUAUUAUUAGGGAUCUAGUGCUUGAGCUUGCUUUGACAUCAUGGUAUUAGCAAAUUCUGAUAUAGCCAAAAUGGUGAAUAAGAUGAUGUACUUGAUAAGAAAAACCUGAUUUAACAAAUAAUUAAGAAGCCGGUAACAAUCACAUAAUCUCAUCAUGUGGGGAAUGCCUUGGCAACAGAAGAUGGUGCUUUCAUUCAAGCAAUAGCAACUUUCCAAUUUCAUAAGGUAGUUUAAUGGCCCUUUUAAGAACAUCUGUACCAGCCUAACAAUUAUUCAUGGAAAUUAAAAUUCAGAAUCAUAUUAGAUUGAGAGAUGAAAUAUAAUAAGCGAUUUGGCCACCAUAUAUGCAUUUAUCACCUUCAAUUUGCUCAUCUUUGUCUGGAGUAUUGCUUCUGCAUUAACUUAAUUAGCUUGCAAGCCACCUACAAAUGGUUUUAAAUAAUGUGUGAGAGUGUGAAUUCGAACGAAUUAAUCAAAUAUGCUGACAGGAGAAACAAAAGUAAAUAACCACAAGAAGUAGAAAUAUACUUUUGUUAUAUUCAGAGCAUCUUCUUGCGUCAAGUUCUUUUCCUUUAGCUCUGUUUCUGUUUGUGCUCAAACGGAAUGGCUCAAGGGUCAAGAUAAUUUUAUGACCAUCAAUCUUUUUGCAGCCACAUGCAGACUUGAAAAACUGGUCGUGGCACUAAGGAACUUGAAAAUUAGAAAAGAUUCAGAAUGAGUGACUAAAUAUUAUAAUCGAAACUAAUUAAACAUACACGCCUAGAAAAUCUGAAACUGAACUUCUCAAAUGUAUAUGCCUCUUCGCAGCAAUUGCUUGUGGUGGAAACUUUACCGCAAGGACUUUCUCAAACCCUUGAAGAUCACACUCUACCUGAUAACAAAGAAACAUAGUCAAUAUACGAAGAUGAUUUUACUAACAAGUGAGUGCUUACACAUAUUGGAAGGAUAAUGAUUACUCAUAACCCAAAUCCCCAACACUCCCUAAUAUCUCACUCAAGUGAGUACGAGCUCCCAGAAUUCACUACUGUGAAACUCUUACAACAAAAUUCCCUUUAAAGAUUCUCUACUCAAAUUUGAUGAUGAUGUCCCUCGAAAGGAGGCAAAAAAUCUAACACUGAUCAAAUUGGCUUGUGAACAAUUAAUCUUCCUGGCGAUCAUGCAUACCAGGUGUGGUGAGCAAUCUUCAUUCUGACAUUUGCCUUAAUAAGCGGCUUAGUAUCCUUAACCUGAUAACUUACACAAACAAAAACAACUUGAUUAAAGUAUAAUAUUUAGAGGCAGAACAGUAAAGAAGAUGAUAUAUAUUGGUACUAAAAUUUGACCUGUGUUAUCCUGACGUCAAGAAUCACAGCAUCUCAUGUGGGCAGAAUAUUCGCAGUACAAGAUGCUUGCAAAAUUGAAGCAGCAUCUUAUCACCUGUAAUUUAAUUAAGACAAUAACUUUCCCCAACCAUUUCAAUGCAUUAUUGGCAACUAAAUUCAGAGGGUGCUAAUUAAAUAGCCUUUGAACAAUAUAUUCUAAUUCUUCUCCAAUCUAACAAUUAUUUGGAAAAUCUGAAUGACAAUCAUGCAUCGACGACAUCAAAAUUUGGCUACAAAGCAGCCUGGAAAAGGCUUUACUCUCUGAAUGAGAGCAUGAAUUCGAAACAAAUAUCAUGAAUGAAGAAACAAAGGCAUAAUACCACAAAAAGUAAAACUUUUCCCAGGGCUAUCUGUUUCUGUUUGAACUAAAACCAAUGGAAACCGAUGGAAAUGAAUUUCUAGGAAUUAGACAUAUCAGCCAAAACAGGUACUCUGUACAAGCAAAGUAAAAUAGGGUUACAAAAAAUUUUAAGAUUGAUAUGAUAAUUAAAAUUUCAGUCACCAUAUAAUUAAUAGAAAACUUUGGACACAAUGAUUUAUUGCAUAUUAAGAUUGCUAUAUAAAAUAUAAUAUUAGCAUUAGGAGACCGCACCGAAGCAUACCGAAUUGAAUGUGCCUUUUCACAGCCAUUUUACAAGCUUUGAAGCUUCACCACAAAUGCUUUUUCCAACCCGUGAACAUGGUGCACCCGAGAGAUGCAAGCUAUGAAAUUGUUACUACAGCAAGCGUUGGAACAUUUGUUAAAAAAGGAAGUUUAUGAAAAUACGCCUUUGGAUACCAGUCUUCAGGAAUCAAUUCAUCCGUAAUAACAAUUUUCAAGAAUUAUCAACUGCUUUAAGCUCAUCGACAUCACAAAGAUCUCAACUAAAAUAGAGCAGAUCCGGCCAUCACUAUCCCUUCUACUGCUCUUUUCCUUUAGAGAAUGAUUGAAUUACAGAAUGCGUGUAAGGCAUUCUUAUUCAAGGUCCAAUGAUCAAACCUUGCACUAUAACAACAGAGGUAGUAGUUUCUUCGCCAGCCUAAUCCUUGGUCUCAGGAAUGUCCUCAACAGAGUACUCGAAAUCAACCUAAAAAUUAAGAAUGAGUUGGAAAACUGUUUAUGGCCCUAAAGAACUUGAAAAUAAGAAAAGAUUAAGAAUGAGUGACUAAACAUUUAAUCGCAACUAAACAUACAAACCUUGAAAAUCUAACUUUGAAGUACUCUUGAAUGAAUGAGCAGUUGCACGAGCUGGUGACAACUAAGGUUACUGUGAAGUCUCUUACAAAUCCUUAAAGAUGAUACUUUACAUACCACGAUAACCUGAUAACACAUAGGAACACAAUAAACAUUAAAGUGUAUUCUGACAAUGCAAAUUUGUGGAAAUCAUCAGCUGUGGUUACCUGGACAAUAUUGCCAACACCAAACUCCUUCCUCAAUUGAAACAUAUGAUCAGCCCACAAAUGCUUUGCUUUGUAGCUUUUGAGAGCCUGAAAUUGUUAUCACAACCAACAAUGAAAAUUGGGUGAAAAAAUUGAUAAUAUUAGCUUAAUUCCAUAUGUUUAUAUAGGAUAAACCGAUCAAAGAAUGAAAAAAGAUAGAAACAGAGCAGACCCAGCCAUCACUUUCUUCUUCAAAGUCGCACCAUAACCACAGUGGUAGUCGUUCCACUGCCAGCCUAAUCCUUGGUCACCCCAAUGUUCUCCAUGAAGUAUUCAAAGUCAACCUAAAAAUAAAUAAAAAUGCAAUGCAGGUGGAAAUGAAAAUUCUAUAAAUUAAAUAAAAUAAAAAUGCAAUGCUUGAGCUUGAGCUUGCUUUAGCAUCAUCGUAAUAGUAAAUUUUGAUAUAUCUUUACUUCUCUGUUCUUGUUUAUUCACAACAAGAUAUCAAUAGAAGAAGAUGGAAAUGAAAUUCUAUAAAAUAAAGCAAGUGAAUUACCAACAGAACAUUUUAGCAAUCCUUUGGCUAAACUUUUCAUUUUCUUAGCAUACUCUCCUGCCUGGUGAACAUAAUUAAACAAGUAUGAAAUAAAACAAAGUGGGCUAAUGUAGUAAAAACAAUAACACAAUUACUUUAAAGAAUUAAUGUCACGUAUAUUAUAUAUAAAAAAAUACGAUUAUCAUUAUAUAAGAUAAAAUUGAUAAUUUAGUUUUCAACAUUACUGCAAACGUAUCACAGAGAUUUUGUUACACAUAACAAAUUUUCGUACAUAUGAAAAUAAAUUACAUUGCAUGAAAUUUUACAAAAGAGCACAUAUUUUUUAAAAGUAAAUAAAUAUAGAAAUUUCAACAGACUACACUUGUAUUUUUUUUUAAUUAUUUAAUCUUUAGAAAACAAGUUUAACAGAUUUGAUAACUAGGAAGUUUUACGUAUUUAUACCAUGAUUGAUUCUAUAUAGAAUUUUAAUUCAAAAUAUAAUUAUUUUUAUUAAUUUCAUUGCAAGCAACAACGAAGUAAAUUAGAGGAGGAGGAGAAAUUACCGGCGAGUGAUAAAUUACCGCGACCACUUGAUGUGGGGAAUGCGAGAUAUCUUAUGCCAGUCUUCUCCUUUCCCCUCUCUAUAACGGUUUUCCAGAAGAGGACAUCUGUCAAUAGUCAAUUCCUGCAGCGUCGUCGUCCGAAGAAGGUAAUCCGGCAGCACCUUUAAUUUGGGGCAAUACUCAAUUACCAAGGAAGAAAGACGUGGUAUGUCUGUUGUCCUGUGAUCUUCUAGAAUGGGCAGUUCUUCCAUAUUUGCACAAAAAGAAAUCCUCAGUUUCUGCAGUGCCGUCGUUCGAAGAAGGUAAUCCGGCAGCGCCUUCAAUUUGUUGCAAGAACGAACUUCCAAGGAAGAAAGACGGGGCAUGAUAGAGAUGUUUUCCUUCCUCGUAAUCCUGUAAUUCCACUCUUCCAAUUCUUCCAUGUCCCAAAUUAUGAGUGAUUUCAAUUUGGGGAAGGCAGUAACUGAUGAUGAUGAUGAAGAUGAAGACGGGCCAUCCUCACUGCUUUCUUCUAUUCCCAAAAACUCAUUACCCACUCUUUUUACACUUUUCAAGUACCAUAGUUCGAGUUUUUCCAGAGGCAAUUUUCCCAAAGGAGGCAAAUGCUCACACUUAAGGCACGAGCGAAGAUAUAAAUUCCUUAGAUUGGUCAGUGAAGUCAACCAUUUGGGAAAAAUGUUGCGUCCAUAUAAUAUAAUCCCUAAUUUCUCUACACUCAAAGGCGGUUGUAAGGCUUUAAGAAGUUGUUCAUCUUUCUCUUUCUUCCUCCUCCUUUCUUCAUCUUCCCCAUCUACGACUCUACCAAACUCAAGACGCAAACGAAGGAGGUUUUGCUGAUUGUAAAGUUGUAAUCUCUCGACCUCAUCUAAACGGGACACAUUACCCAGCCCUUCAAUUCCACAUUCUCGAAGGAGUUGAAGAUUUUUCAGAGAUUCAAGCCUACAAGUAUUGCUACCAUCAACACCUCCACCCACCACAAACUUGUCUAAUGUUCGAAGACUGGUUAAUUUGGAAAUCCCUACUGGCAUGUAUUUCAACGAAUAAGUUUCAGCAUUCAGUAAACUCCUCAUGUUCUUUAACUUCCCAAUCCCCGCUGGCAAUUCUUUAAGAUUUCGGCACCGCCUAAUAUCUAGCUUUUGUAAAUUAUAUAAUUCACACAAAGUCUUAGGUAGUCUCUCUAUGCCUAAUUCAGACAAAUUAAGAUAUCUUAAAUGUAUCAAUUUUCCGACAUUUUUUGGAAUUUCUCUAAUCAAACUUGAGUGAAGACGAACAGGCGAGGAUGAUAGCCUUAUAACUAAUGAUUCCCUUAUAACUAAUGCCCUCAAACAUGCCAAUUUACUAAAUAACUUUCGAGUUUCUCUAAUCUUAUAUGUGUUUGGACAAAAACAUAGGCGCAACAGCCUUAUAACUAAUGCCCUUAAACAUUCUUUGCUACUACUAAAAGACGAAAGGAUGCUACUAAGAGACAGAUUGAAAUCACUUCUAUCAUAAAUUAAAAGGGUACGCAAUCUAUCAAGUCCACGAAUGGAUAUAGGAAAUGAAGUGCCUCUUUGAAAAUUUAACCCUAAGUGACGGACUUUGUCACCAAAAGAGUUUAUGACUGAGUCUUUGGUACCAUUAAUUUCUACCCACAAACAUUCUUUUCUACUUACAAAUUGGGCAAAAUCAUGUAUUAUGUCAUGCAUCUUGCAGCUCAUAAUAUCAUCAUCAUCAUCUUUUUUAAACUCUUGAAAGAAAGAGCGUGCUGCUAAAAUGUUGAAAUACUCUUCCCCAAUCAUCUCCAUCUCUUCGUCUUCUUCUGUAUUAAGAUAACCUUGAGCCAUCCAUAGUGAAAUUAGUUCCUCUUUAUUCAUAUUGUAGUUUUUUGGAAAGACAGCACAAUAUGAGAAACAUUGUUUUACCAUAGAAUUGGAGGGCAAAUCGUUAUAACUCAACAACAAAGGAGCUAAAAGACCUUGCCCAAUUGCUUCUACUUUCCACAUUUCACUCUCUAAAAUUCUUUGCCACUCUUUUACUGUACUUUUAGAGCGCAAGAGAUUCCCUAUUACCUUUGCAGCAAGAGGCAGGCCUUUGCACUUAUGUGCAAUUUUGCGCCCGAUUGGUUCUAAUUUUUCACGAUCCUCAAAGGACCUACGUAGAAAUGCCAUCUGCUUAAACAGUAACCAACAUUCCCCUUCUCCCAACUCCUUGACAGGGAUAAUAUCUAUUGAUCCCAACUGUAGUGCAACUGACCUAUCACGUGUGGUAAUUAGAAUUUUACUUUCAUGGUGGCCAUUCUUUAGACAAGAAAAGAAUGGGUCCCAUUUUUUGUAAUCUACAUCCCACACAUCAUCUAAAACAAGAAAAAACUUUUUUCCUUCAAUUGAUGUAUGGAUAUGGCUCAUAAGAGAUUGGAAUUCGCUUAAAUCAUAAGCUUCUUUUGACUUGCCUAGACCUUCAAUGAUUGCUUUGGCAACCCUAAUCCUCUCAAAAGUGUCUGAUACACACACCCAUAUAACUUUUUCAAAAUUUCUUUUCACCUCAUCAUUAUUAUAGGCCAGUUGUGCAAGAGUGGUUUUACCUAUACCCCCUAACCCAACUAGUGAGAUGAUAUGAAGGCCUUCUUGUUGUUCACUACUUUGACACAACAACUUGCUUAAGAGCUCAUCUUUCUCAUUAACUCUACCGCAAACCUCUCCCUCAUCAAUCAAGGAGGUGGUUCGCACUCGCUCUGGUUUCUUGACAUUGUUACUCACAUUCUCAACAAAUUUAAACAUAUCUUUUCGAGUGGCAAUACCAUCUAGCUUUUCAUUGAUUUCCCUAAUCUUGACAGCAAUGUCAUGACGAAGACUGAGUUGUUUGAAACUGCCACAGCAGUUUGAUACAGCACAAAAGAAGGAACGUACCUUCUUCUUAUGAACGCCCUCAAUCUGCAAUUUGAGCCUUGCAGUGGUCCACUCCUCCAACACAUCUUCCAUGUCGUAAGAUGCGUCUUUGAGCUGAUCCAGCCAAAAAGUAACAUCUUUCUCGUGCUGCAUUUGCCUUUUCUCUGCAUCUUCCAGCACAAGUUGAAUGGCUUGUAGAUUGCUGGUGAGCUUUUUCACUUCUUCGUCGACACCAGUAACAAGCCUCACCUGUUGUUUCAGUUCAUCAGUUGCAACUGAGCUCAGCUGCUCCAGGAGAGAGGAAACGAUCGCAUCAACCAUUCUGACAAAGAAGAUGAGAAUUCUGAAGAGUUAUUAGAUGUGCUUUUGUUGCGAAGAUAUGAAAGAAAGGAGUUAUUGCAUUCUUUUAUACUGCAUAGAAAAGGUUUAUGCUUAUCCCCACCCCACACGUCAAUGAUUGUAGAAUGUUUAAUUUCCCUGAUUCUACUCCACUAGUUGUGAUGCGUAAUUAUAAAUAUUCUCAAGUUAUGUAUGAAAAUCCCACAAAUUUGGAUCUAGUAAUGAUUUUUAUGUAUUUUUUCAUAAUCUUCUAAAAUACUAUAUCUGCAUGUUAUUUCGUGCAGAAAUAUGGCAUUGGGUGAAAAAAGUUAUGCUUAUCCCCACCCACACGUUAGUAAUUGUAGUAGCAUCUGUAAUUUCCAUGAUUCUACUCCACGGACGAACACAUUUUUUGUACUAACAUCUUUAAAUUCCCACACGUUAGGAAUUUGGCACAUAAUCUCAAACUCGUCGCAUCUUUAACGUAUGAGGUUGAUGAAUAAAUUCUUUUCUCAUAUCAAUUUAAAACUCCGAGAUUAUGUGCCAAAUUCCUAACGUGUGGGAAUUUUACCUCCUAAGUAAUCCGGCCCACUGCCAAGUGCCAACUUUUUCUCUGUCGAGUUAAUGAUGUUGUUUUGUUUUCCUUGUUUUAAUUAAUGUUGCGGAGAGAAACAGAUCGAUGCAAAUGGCUAGCCAGGUUUUGCAGAAACCGUGAAUGGUCUUGCAUGCAUGUGACAUAAAGCUUUAUAUAUAGCUUAUUCCUCCAUCAACAUUUCAAUGGUUCCAUCUCACGUGCACUUGGCUAUGAAUAAGGUCCAUGCAUGGAUCGAUCGAUUUAGGAGUUUGGACCAUCUCAUGCUGCAGAGUUAUGUGUCAUGUAUGUGUGUUGACACUUGCCAGUUCAUUUUUGUUAUAAAGAUUAUUGAUACUCGUAAAUGUACUACUUACAAAUCAUAAAUUUUGAGUUUGACACUUUAGUUUCAUUUUGUAAUCCCUACGCUCUUUAAAUAUUUGUAAUAAUAUAUUUCAAACUUUAACUCAGACGUAAUGAAUGAAGGGGGAUCCUCUUCUUAUAUAAAUUUUUAUUUUUUAACGUUCAAGUUACAUUUGAUUACGUGUACUUAUUAUCUAGUUUUGACUAUCUAAUGACAUUUGAUUACGUGUACUUAUUAUAUGAUUUUUUUUUAAAUGAUGGGUCUGGUGAGAUUUUUUACAUCUUGGAUUAGUAGGUCAAGAACGGGCAGGGCAGGGCCUUCUCUGAAGUCAAUCUUGUGAGCAACACCAGCUUUUUGGAUAAUUGGCAGCCCCAAUUCAUAAUUUUCUCAGUUGAUGUCCAUGGCCAAAAUCUGCAACCGAAGCUUAUUCUACUCUUAUUAAUCGAGAGAUAAUUUUAUCUCUAACUAAUUUAAUUGGGAGGAAAAUUGAGAGAGAUAUCCACUCUGUCCUUAUUAAUUGAGAGAUAAUUUUACCCUUACCCAAUUUAAUUGGAAAGGAAAUCGAAUUCCAACAAUAACUAGGACUUGAAUCCAUGCACUUAAGCUAACUUUAAGUUUUAGGAUGCAUGGUUAUAAUGUUCUUUAUUUAAAUCCUAACAAAUGGUGGGACUUGAACUUGUGCCUACAAACAUUGAGUGCUUAGGGGCUGCAAAAUUUCAUAACUUAAUUUUAGUUGAUGUGGUAUGUGCCCUAUCACAUAAAUAUGUAGAUAAUAAUAAUUAAUACAUUAACAAAAUGAAAAAUAUUAGUUUACAAAAUACAAAUCCAAAUUUUUUGUGUGACAAGGGACUUAAAAGGGAGAGACUAAACAAAUGUGGUGAAAACGACAUGUAUUACUAAAACUAAAAAUACGAAGUCUAGGCAAUUGAAAACAUCGGGUUUUUUAUUUAAAUAUCCCCAAUUUGUCCUUAAAUACCAAAUUUAUACCCUAUUAUAUACAUAUACCUCACGAAGAUAGGGAAAAUAAAAAAUAACCUUAAAAAAAUCAAGAAUCCACACAUUUCUUCCUCUCAGUGCAGGAAGAUGUCGAGUACGAAGUCGGGUAAGUCGAGAAUUUAGUCGAGCAAGAAUUGGAGAUAAGUAAGUUGAGUAUAUGGUCCAGUAGGAAGUUGAGUAAGCAUAUUAAAUGAGUCCAGUAUUAAGUGGUAGAGUAUUAAGUAAAAGUCAAGUAAAUUUUUUAAACAAGUCAAAUAAAAUUUAUGUAAUUUUUAAAGAGGUUGAGUAUUAAGUCGGGUUAGUACAUUGGGUCGAGUGUUAAUAUUUUUAAAGAAGUGAAGUCUGGUAAGUUGAGCAUUCAGUCGAGUAAGAAGUUAAGGCAAUUGAAUAAGUCGAGUCUCUAGUCGAGUACGAAGUCGGGUAUAAAGUCUGGUAAGUUGAGCAUUCAGUCGAGUAAGAAGUGAAGGCAAUUGAAUAAGUCGAGUGUCUAGUCGAGUACGAAGUUGGGUAUGAAAUCUGGUAAGUUGAGCAUUCAGUCGAGUGAGAAGUGAAGGCAAUUGAAUAAGUCAAGUAUCUAGUCGAGUACGAAGUCGGGUAUGAAGUAUGGUAAGUUGAGCAUUCAGUUGAGUAAGAAGUGAAGGCAAUUGAAUAAGUCGAGUACGAAGUCGGGUAUGAAAUAUGGUAAGUUGAGCAUUCAGUCGAGUGAGAAGUUAAGGCAAUUGAAUAAGUCGAGUAUCUAGUUGAGUACGAAGUCGGGUAUGAAGUUUGGUAAGUUAAGCAUUUAAUCGAGUAAGAAGUGAAGGUAAUUGAAUAAGUCGAGUAUCUAGUUGAUUACGAAGUCGGAUCUGAAGUCUAGUAAGUUGAACAUUCAGUUGAGUAAGAAGUGAAAACAAUUGAAUAAGUCGAAUAUCUAGUCGAGUAAAAAGUCGAGUAAGUAGAUUGAAUGAGUAGGGUAUUAAUUUUUUGUUGGCAUUUUAUUGAGGCUAUUUUUGUACUUUCUUUGGUUUUUUAAGUAUGUAUAUGCAAAGUACAGAUUUUAAUAGAUGGAUGUAUAUUUUGGGUAUUACGAGAGAAACGGGGUAUAUCCCACGCAAUUCCUUCGAAAACAUCUCUGUCAAUUGCAAUGAACAGAUCACAACCCUUCAUAAUUAAACAAAAUCAAACUUGAAAAAAAAAAUCACACACACACACACAAAACAAUCACAAAAACUAUUUGUUCUGAUCAUCCCUGCUUUUUUUUAGCGUAGCUCUUGGAAUGAAAAUUAACAAAAAGUGUCAAAAGAGAAGCAUUAAACACAGCAUUGAAGCACCAGCCCAAAAUCCCAGAGCAACCAAAUCCCGUAAAAUGAUAAUACAGCAUCAAAACCGAAACAACAAAACUAAACACAAACUGAACAAUCUAACAAUCAGUGACCAAUCUCUUCCACUUUGGCCGCAACCCCAUCACACACAAUAGAUAGUACCCGUACAUGAUCACAUGCACACUUGCAUUAGUCACAAGUGCAAUAGGAAACAAAGACUGCUUCGUCUGUAACCAAAGGUAGCACAUUACGACGACGGUUGCAUGGUGGUAGACGUGGAGGAACGUGAGCCAUUGGAUGGAUUUUGACAAAAUGAUCAAAAGGGUGUCUAAGAAUUCGAGUAUUUUGGAGAGGUAGAAGAGGUAAGCGUAGAAGAAGAGGGGGCCAGACGGAGAAAUGGUGGGGGGGAAACAGAGGGUGUAAUGGAGGUGGGGCAAAUGGACGAUGAUGGAGAGAGUGCAGCCAACGGCCAUGAUGAGGGAGAGGAGGAGGAGGGUGAGGUUAUGGACGGCUGUGAUGGGCUUGAGGAUGUGGGGUCCAAUGAGAGGUGAUGAUGAUGGUGAUGUUGAUGUUGAUAUGUGGUAGAGGAUGAAUGUGAGGGAGAGGUAAGUGAGGAUGGAGAGAAUGAGGAAGUGUGGGGAAGAAGCUAGUGUUUGGUUCUGAGUCCAUGUGAAGCUGAGGAUUUGGGGGUGGUUUACAAGACAAUAUUGGAGUGUUGAGGUGAUUGAAUUUGAAGCCAUGGCUAGUUUUUGGGGGAAGAAAGAUUUUGGAAGAGAUGAUGUUGAGAUGAACGGGGGAGUUUAUAAAGUUUUGGGAUAAUGUGGAGGGUAUUUUGGACAUAUUGUUGUCUCAGCUUAAAUUUUGGGAAAAAGAUGAUCAAUAAGAAGCUCUUUUUUUCAUAUCAAUUUAAAACUCCGACGGUGUUUCCAAAAAUUGUUUUUCUUUUUCCGUUUUUUAAUUUUAAAUCAUAAAUUUAGUAAAAGAAGUUGAAUCAAGUGAUCACUUUUUUUUUAAUGUAAAACAAUUAAUUUCUUUUGUGAUUUAAGCAAAUAUUGAGUUGCAUACUUUAAAUAUAUUAAUAUUUGAUUCGAAAUUUCAUCUACCGAAACUACAAAAAUUAAUAUUUUCUAUUAAAUCAAAACCAAAAUUAAAGAUGACUCCUUGUCUGCCAACUGUCAUUAAACAAAGCCAUCACUCACGUGAAAAAAAAAAGUGAUAUAUUCAUUUUAACGUAAUUUCAUACCAACAUAUCAUUCUUUUUUUUCCAAUAAUGACCUCUUUAAUUAUAAAAUAUGGUAAAAGGGGAUGGGUUCGAGGUAUGGCGUCCGGGCCUUUGUGACAACGGUAUCUUUGGACGUGGGUGUCGUUAGAUUUUUGGCUAUUUUCUGGUCAAUCAAACUGGUGGAUCACAUGCAUUUUAAUGACCUCUUUAAUUAUAAAAUAUGGUAAAAGGGGAUGGGUUUAAGGAAUGGCGUCCAGGCCUUUGUGACAAAGUUGGAUGUGGGUGUCAUUAGACUUUUGGCUAUUCUGCUCAAUCAAACUCGUGGAUUACAUGCACUCAACGCGGACAUUAUGGAAAUGGGAGAAAAUUAUGUUAGUAAUAGCAUCUUCAAAAGUUUCUAUACAUUUUACUCUUUAAAUAUUUAUUUACUUAUUUAUAUGAUAAAUAGAAAGGUAAAAAAAUAUAUUAUUCUCCAAAAAACUCUUCAAAUAAAAAUAAGUUAAUAUUAUUUUAAUCAAAUAAUUAUUUUUUAAAGGAAAAGUUAACAGCAAUUAAAGCACUUCUCUUUCUCUCUCUAAUAAAAAGUAAUAAAAUAUUAAUUGAAGUGUUUUUUAGAACCUUAAAUGUUGAUGUGACUCUUCAAAUAAGUAAUAAAAUCUUAAUUGAAGAGCCUUUUGGUGAUGGUUUAAAACCCACUGUUUCGUUCUAAACUAAGUGAAUUUAUCUCGUGAGCUAAGUAGUUUAGGAGAUAACUCAAAUAAUUAACUUUUUAUUAGUUUAAUAAUAAGAAUUUUCGAUUAUAUUUUAAAAGUAUAAUUCAUUACAAAAAAUUACUUAAUAAAAAUAACUGUUAUUUAACAUAUUACAUUUUUUCAAUAAUAAAAUAAUUCAAAUUUUUAAUUAUUAUAACAAAAAAAUUUGUAAUAUAAUCCAUUCAUAUACCACAUCACGUAAAAUGUAACCUAGUACUACAUGUAAUCUUGUUACUACUAUUCCUAUAAUAUUCUACCACAUCAUAUACUAUCAAAUUCCAUCCGGCAUGCCAAAUGUGCAAAGUUUGAGUAAGACUUGUUAAAGUUGAGUAACAUCUUAUAUGGCCAAGCGCAUUGAGUAUGGAUUUGCAUGAUCGAGUGAGUACAACUAAAGUCGGGUAGAGUCUGGAAAAUCCCUAUAAUGUUGAGGUUGGAGAACUAUACUUUUUAAGGUACAUAAUUAAACAAUUUUGGUAAAUAUUUACUAUUAUAACUUAAAAAUUAAUUUGAUUUGAUCUCAUAUAUUAUUAUAAUAAAAAAACUUAUAAUAUCUUUAUUAAUUUUAUUAAAAAUUAUUAUUUAGAAGUCAUAUAUUUAUUACACAUUGUCAAAUUUCAGCUUUUUGUUUUUAACAACAGCUAGUAAUAUCAAACAAGACCUAAGUUGAGUAUGAUCAAUUAAUUAAAAUUAUGAUUUUUUUUUGUAUAAAAUAAUCAUUAGAUAAUUAGUCUGUAAAGAAUAUCGGCUACUUCAAAUGGAAACUUGCGAUAAAAAAUGCAUCACAAAAGUAACAAUGACACACUAUAUAAGAAAUCUGAAAUAGAAUUUGCAAAAUUGAACUGAGUUACGGAGAGUAAAUAAGACUCCAAAGGAACAUGGCAAUUAUUAUUAUCUAGGAAACAAUUCAUAGCUAAAACAAAAUUAACUAUACUUGCCAGGAAAUAUGGCGAAUUCCACCACCUCCUACAAGUUCUUAGGUGUCUUAGAGUUUGAUGACGACUUCCAUGCUGUGUCUCUUCGACAGGCAGCAAAAUUGGGCAAUUGACUACAUUAACUCCAAGAAAUUUAUGCAGUCACCUUCCUCCGGACUAUCCUCUUUCUUUGAGCUUUGGUUGCCCCUAUUUCCCCUUCAAUAGAGUCAUCACUGUUUUGUUUGAAGCCAAGGAGCCCAAGAUCAGAAAAAUGGCAUUCUUUGGUAUCAAUCCCUCGAUCCCCAAGUCACGUCACUAACUUUCUGUUGAUCGCGUAGCUAGUUCAUGUAUGCCACAGCAGCGGAAGGUAGCCUGAAGAAGAAAAAACCUCUCUCUCUUUCUUGCUCAGUAACCACCUGGGCACUUUUGUGCUGAGCCAUGACAUCCUGAGAUGGCCUGUUGUGUAAGCCUUCUUCAAAAGGUCAUCUGUCGAUCUUUCUCCUAAUUAGACAUCCAAAACCCAGCAUGGAAUCCAUUUGAGAAGGUGGACAAUAGACAAACUCCAACGCAUACAGACAGUAAAGAAGAAUUUAGACCGCAAUCACUGUGGCUGAAUAAAUGGGCCUAUUAAGCCUAUUAAAAGUUGGAACCAUAUUCACCACUCGCAGUUCCUUAGAGAACUUUAUCAGAAUUCUGAAAAUUUAAAACUAUUCUUACAUAUUUAACUGUAAAACAAGAGAAAUUGUACUUCCGUAGCAAAGUCUCACUAUUGGUAAGUAUCUGGACUUGGAAAGGAUGCUAGUUGAUUAAGUAAAGGAAAAUUGAAAUCAGACUUUGAGGUGAUAGAUCUAUAUACACUUUAAUCGGAACCACAUUAACAUCAUAUGAGCCAAACAAACAAAUUCCCCAGUCAAAGUUCAACAAACAAAACAUUAAAACAAGAGUAAUUUGGUGUAUCAAUGUAUAUAUAGAGAUGUCGAUCAUUGACAAAUACGUAAAAGAGGGAGGGAGAGACCUCAAAGCCGUGCUUAACAACAUUGCUACUCCAAUAACUUCAAAAUGGUUGGCGACGUCUCUAUCAAAGCCACACAAUAGCUGAUAUCUCAUGUUUGCAUGUAGUCCAAUGAAAGCACCAUAACCAAGAACAUUAGUACUCACAGAUGGGUUUGUCACAGAUAACCUGUCAGGCAAUAAAAAUUGCCCAAAUUAAACAAAUGUUAGACCGGCUUAGACAGUAAACGGAACAAUAUUCUAAUUUUACUUUAUUUAUAACGAAUAAGUGAACAAAGGAAUGAAAAGGAAGUUUGGCAACAGUCUUUUUACCAGCCAGAUAGUUUGACAAAGAAUCUUGCACUGCUCCUGCAGCUAAUCCCACCAUACACAACUCUGCAGUCUUGUUUGGGAGUCAAAAUUCUCAAAAUGGGUAACUCUGUUCAAAUAUACUGUUUGGGAACUUUUGUAAUGUAUUUUGCAAGUCAAACAGGAAGGUAUUUCCAUAAGAAGGUUCACUUCACAUGCUCAACAAUUCAAAUUUGCGGAUGAUAUUUCUCAAAAUGGAGGGCUCUAUUUGGCUUGCCAACAAUCUUCCUCACCAUUAUCAUCCUUGCUAUACCGGUUAAACUGAACAGUCUUCAUUCUGACAUUUGCCCUAUUAACCUGAGUACACAAGAAUCCGAAACAACUGUUAGAAAUUAUAAUCUUUAUAUAUAGCCAAAAUGUUGAAUAAGAUGAUGUACUUGAUAAUAAAUACCUGAGUUAAUAAAUAAUUAAGGGGCCGGUAACAAUGUCAGCAUCUUAUCAAGUGGGGAAAGCCUACGCAACGAAGAUGCUGCCUGCUUUCAAGAAAUAAUAACUUUCCAAUUCCAUAAGGUAGGUUAAUGCCCUUUUAAAAAUAUCUCCACCAGCCUAACAAUUAUUCAUUGAAAUGUGUGAGUGUGAAUUCGAACGAAUUAAUCAAAUAUGAUGACACGAGAAAGAAAAUUAAAAUAACCACAAGAAGUAGAAAUAUACUUUUGUUAUAUUUAGUGCAUCUUCUGUGUGUGCUCAAACGCAAUGCCUCAAGGCGCAAGAUAAUUUUAUGACCAUCAAUCUUUUGCAGCCAUAUGCAGACUUGAAACAUUGGCGGUGGUUCUAAGGAACUUGAAAAUUAGAAAAGUUUCAAAAUGAGUGACUAAAUAUGAUAAUCGAAAUUAAUUAAAUAUACACGCCUUGUAAAUAUGAAACUAAAUUACUCAAAUGUAUGUGCCUCUUCGCAGCAAUUGCUCGUGGUGGAAACUUUACUGCAAAGACUUCCUCAAACCCUUGAAGAUCACACUCUUCCUGGCAACAAAGAAACAGAGUCGAUAUACGAAGAUGAUUUUACUAACAAGUGAGAGCUUGCAAAUAUUGGAAGGAUAACGAUUGCUCAUAACCCAAAUCCCCAAUACCCUCUAAUAUCUCACUCGAGUGAGUUCAAGCCCCCAAAAUUCACUACAGUGAAACUCUCGAAACAAAAUUCUCUUCAAAUAUUCUCAACUCAAAUUUGAUAAUGAUAUCUCUUGAAGGAAGGCAAAAAAUCUAACACUGAUCAAAUUGGCUUGUGAACAAUUAAUGUUCCUGGCCAUCAUUCAUACUAGGUGUGGCGAACAAUUAAGCUGCUUAGUAUCCUGAACCUGAUAACUUACACAAACAAAAACAACUUGCCUAAAGUUUAAUAUUUAGAGGCAGAACGGUAAAGAAGAAGAUAUAUAUUGAUACUAAAAUUUGACUUGCGUUACCCUGAUGUCAAGAAUAGCGGGAUCUCAUGUGGGCAAAAUCUUCGCAAUACGAGAUGCUUGCAAAAUUGAAGCAGCAUCUUAUCACCUGUAAUUUAAUUAAGAUAAUAACUUUCCCCGACUAUUUCAAUGCAUUAUUGGCAACUAAAUUCAGAGGGCGCUAAUUAAAUACCCUUUUAACAAUAUCUUCUUAUUCUUCUCUAAUCUAGCAGUUAUUUGGAAAAUCUAAAUGACAGUCAUGCAUCAAUGGCGUCAAAAUUUGGCUACAAAGCAGCCUACAAAAGGCUUCACCCUCUGAAUGAGAGCAUGAAUUCGAAUAAUAUGAUGAAUGAAGAAACAAAGGCAUAAUACCACAAGAAGUCAAACUUUUCCCCAGAGCUCUGUUUCUGUUUGUGCUAAAGCAAAUGGAAACCAGUGGAAAUGAAUUUCUAUGAACUAGACAUAUCAGCCAAAACAGGUACUCUGUGCAAGCAAAGUAAAAAAGAGUUACAAACAAAUUUAAGAUUGAUAUGAUAAUUAAAAUUUCAGUCACCAUAUAAUUAAUAGAAAACUUUGUACACAAUGAUUUAUUGCAUAUUAAGAUUGUAUACCUAAAUUUUAAUUGCUAUGCAAAAUAUGAUAUUAGCAUUAGGAGACCGCACCAAAACGUACCGUAUUGAAUGUGCCUUUUCACAACCAUUGUACAAGCUUUGAAGCUUUGGCACAAAUGCUUUUUCAAACCCAUGAACAUGAUGCACCCGAGAGAUGCAAGAUAUGAAAUUGUUACAACAGCAGGCAUUGAAACAUUUGUUAAGAAAGGAAGUUUAUGAAAAUACGCCUUAACAUUCAUUAGAUACAUGUCUUCAGGAAUCAAUUCAUCUGUAAUAACAAUUUUCAAAGAGCAUUAACUGCUUUAAGCCCCUCAACAUCACAGAGAUCUUCAAUUAAAAUAGCGCAGAUCCGGCCAUCACUAUUACUUCUACUGCUCUUUCGCUUUAGAGAACGCUUGAAUUACAGAAUGCAUGUAAGGCUUUCUUGUUUAAGGUCCAGCAAACCUUGCACAAUAACAACAGAGGCAGUGGUUCCAUUGCCAGCCUAAUCCUUGGUCUCACCAAUGUUCUGCACGAGUAGGAAAUCAACCUUAAAAUUAAGAAUGAGUUGCAAAAACUGUUUAUGGCCCUAAAGAACUUGAAAAUCGGAAAUGAUUAAGAAUGAGUGAGUAAACAUUUUAAUCGAAUAAACAUACAAAACUUGAAAACCUAACAUUGAAGUACUCUGAAUGAAUGUGCAAUUGCACGAGCUGGUGACAACUGACUUUACUGCAAAGGCUCUUUCAAACCCUUGGAGAUGAUAAAAAUAAAAAUGCAAUGCUUGAGCUUGAGCUUGAGCUUGUUUUAACAUCAUCAUAGUAGGGAAUUUUGAUAUAUCUUUACUUCUCUGUGGUUCAAUCAUUUACUUCUCUGUUCUUGUUUAUUCACAACAAGAUAUCAAUAGAAGAAGAUGGAAAUGAAAUUCUAUAAAAUAAAGCAAGUGAAUUACCAGCAGAACAUUUUAGCAAUCCUUUGGCUAAACUUUUCAUUUUCUUAGCAUACUCUCCUGCCUGCAUCAUUAAAACCAAAUUAGAUUGGACCUGUGAAUUGCUAGUGUGGUUCUGACAUUUCCUCGAAUCCCUGGUGAACAUAAUUAAACGCGUAUGAAAUAAAACAAAGUGGGCUAAUGUACUACUAAAAACAAUUACACAAUUACUUUAAAGAAUUAAUGUCACAUAAAUUAUAUAUAAAAAAAUAAGAUUAUCAUUAUACAAGAUAAAAUUGAUAAUUUAUUUUUCAACAUUACUGCAAAUGUAUUACAGAGAUUUUGUCUCUCAGGAAGUUACACAUAACAAAUUUUCGUACAUUAAAAAAUAAAUUACAUUGGGAUUUUCUAUGAUGUUGUAUGCAAUUUUACAAAAGAGCACAUAUUUUUUAAAAGUAAAUAAAUAUAGAAAUUUAAACAGACUACACUUGUAUUUUUUUAUUAUUUAAUCUUUAGAAAACAAGUUUAACAGAAUUGAUAACUAGGAAGUUUUACAUAUUAUUUCAUUGCAAGCAACAACGAAGUAAAUCAGAGGAGGAGGAGAAAUUACCGGCGAGUGAUAUCUUACGGCUACCACGUGAUGUGGGGAAUGUGAGAUAUCUUCUCCUUUCCCCUCUCUAUGACGGUUUUCCAAAAGGGGACAUCCCCAAAUUGUCAAUUUCUGCAGCGUCGUCGUUCGAAGGAGGUAAUCCGGCAGCACCUUUAAUUUGGGGCAAUCCCCAAUUAGCAGGGAAGAAAGACGUGGUAUGUCUGUUGUCCUGCGAUCUUCUAGAAUGGGCAGUUCUUCCAAAUUUUUACAAGAAUAAAUACUCAGUUCCUGCAGCGUCGUCGUCCGAAGAAGGUAAUCCGGCAGCACCUUUAAUUUGGGGCAAUGCUCAAUUUCCAAGGAAGAAAGACGUGGCAUGAUGGAGAUGUUUUCCUUCCUCGUAAUCCUGUAAUUCCACUCUUCCAAUUCAUCCAAGAACCAAAUUUUGAGAGAUUUCAAUUUGGGGAAGGCAAUAACUGAUGAUGACGAUGAAGAUGAAGAUGAGUCGUCCUCACCGCUUUCUUUUAUUCCCAAAAACUCAUUACCCACUCUUUUUACACUUUUCAAAUUGCAUAGGAUGAGUUUUUCCGGAGGCAAUUUUCCCAAAGGAGGCAAAUGCUCACAGUUAAAACACAAGGAAAGAUAUAAAUUCCUUAGAUUGGUUAGUAAAGUCAACCAUUUGGGAAAAAUGACGCCUCCAUAGGAUUCAAUCCCUAAUUCCUCUACAUUCAAAGGCGGUUGUAAGGCUUCAAGAAGUUGUUUAUCUUUCUCGUUCUUCCUCCUCCCUUCUUCGCCUUCCCCAUCUACGACUCCACCAAACACAAGACGCAAACGAAGGAGGUUUUUCUUAUUGUAAAGUUGUAACCUCUCAACCUCAUCUACAUGCGAUACAUUACUCAGCCCUUCUAUACUACAUUUACCACGGAGUUGAAGAUUUUUCAGAGAUUCAAGCCUACAUGUGCUGCCGCCAUCAACACCUCCACCCACAACAAACUUUUCUAAUGUUCGAAGGCUGGUCAAUCUGGAAAUCCCUAUUGGAAACUCCUCAUGUUCUUUAACUUCCCAAUCCCGGCUGGCAAUUCUCUAAGAUAUUUGCACCGCCUAAUAUCUAGCUUUUGUAAAUUAUAUAAUUCACACAAAGUCUCAGGUAGUCUCGCUAUAUAUAAUUUAGACAACUUAAGAUAUUAAGAUAUUUUAAAUGUAUCAAUUUUCCAACAUUAUUUGGAAUUUCUGUAAUCCAAUUUGUGCCUUCAUACAAAAGCUUGAUCGAUUGCCUUAUAACUAAUGCCCUUAAACAUGCCAAUUUAUUAAAUAACUCCCGAAGGAUGCUAUUAUUAAGAGACGGAUUGAAAAAACCUUCAUCAUAAAUUAAUAGGGUACGCAAUCUAUUAAGUCCAUAAAUGGUCAUAGGAAAUGAAGCUCCUCCUCCAAAAUUUAACCGUAAGUGACGGACUUUGUCACCAAAAAAUUUUAUGACUGAUUCCUUGGUACCAUUAAUUUCUAGCCACAAACAUUCUUUGCUACUUACAAAUUGGGCAAAAUCAUGUACUAUGUCAUGCAUCUUACAACUCGUGAAAUCAUCAUCGUCCUCAUAUAUUUUAAACUCUUGAAAGAAAGAGUGUGUUGCUAAGAUGUUGAAAUACUCUUCUCCAAUCAUCUCCAUUUCUUCGUCUUCUUCUGCAUUAAGGUAACCUUGAGCCAUCCACAGAUCAAUCAACUCCUCUUUAUCCAUCACGUAGUCUUUUGGAAAGACAGCACAAUAUGAGAAACACCGUUUUACCAUAGAAUUGGAGGGCAAAUCGUUAUAACUCAACAACAAAGGAGCCAAAAGACCUUGCCCAAUCUCUUCUACUUUCCACAUUUCACUCUCUAAAAUUCUUUGCCACUCUUUUACUGUACUUUUAGAGCGCAAGAGAUUCCCUAUUACCUUUGCAGCAAGAGGCAGGCCUUUGCACUUACAUGCAAUUUUUCGCCCGAUUGGUUCUAAUUUUUCACAAUCCUCAAAAGAACGACCGAAAAAUGCUAACUGCUUGAACAAUGACCAGCAUUCCUCUUCAACCAAUUGCUUGAUGGAGAUAAUAUUUGUUGAUCCCAUCAUACGUGCAACUAACUCAUUACGUGUGGUAACCAAAAUUUUACUUCCGUGGAGACCAUUUUUUAGACAACGGAAGAAUGGUUGCCAUUUAUUGUAAUCCCCAUCCCAUACAUCAUCUAAGACAAGAAAAUUUUUUUUUCCUUUAAUUGAACUCUGGAUACGGCUCAUAAGAGAUUGGAAUUCGUUUAAACCAGAAGCUGACUUCCCUAGACCUUCAAUGAUUGCUUUGGCAAUCCUAAUCUGAUCAAAAGUGUCCGAUACACACACCCAUAUAACUUUUUCAAAAUUUCUUUUCACCUCAUCAUUAUUAUAGGCUAGUUGUGCAAGAGUGGUUUUACCUAUACCCCCUAACCCAACCAGUGAAAUGACCUGAAGGCCAUUUUGUUGUUCACUACUUUCACACAACAACUUGCUUAAGAGCUCACUUUUCUCAUCAACCCUACCGCAAACCUCUCCCUCAUCAAUCAAGGACGUGGUUCGCACUCUCUCUGGUUUCUUAACAUUGUUACUCACAUUCUCAACUAAUUUGAAACUAUCUUUUUGUCUGGCAAUAUCAUCUAGCUUUUCACUGAUUUCUCUAAUCUUGACAGCAAUAUCAUGACGAAGACUGAGUUGUUUGAAACCACCAAAGCAGUUUGAGGCAGCAGGAAAGAAGAAACAUACCUUCGUCAAAAAAGUAACAAAAGCACCGUCGUUAUCAUCAUAAUCAUCAUCGCCUCCCUCAUCAAGCUGCAAUUUCCGUGUUUCAGUGAUCCACUCUUCCAACACAUCUUCCAUGUCGUAGGAUGCGUCUCUGAGCUGAUCCAGCCAAAAAGUAACAGCUUUGUCCUGCUUCAUUUGCCUCUGCUCUGCAUCUUCCAGCACAGCUUGAAUGGCUUGAAGAUUGGUGGUAAGCUUUCCCACUUCUUGUUCGACACCCGUCACAAGCCUCCACUUUUCUUUCACCUGAUCUUGAGCAAUGGAUUUCAGCUGGUCCAGGAGAGGGGAAACGAUCGCAUGAGCCAUUCUGAUAUUAGAUCAAAUGGUAAAUGCUGCAAUUGCUUUUCUUUCUAAACUGCUCAGAGGAAAGUAGCUUUUAUGUAUUCUGUGAGAAUGCUCAUUCAACCAUGUUUGCAUUCUUCUUAUACUAAUAGGAGAUUUAAUUUUUACCCUCAAGUCAAUGUCAAUGUGAACGUUCUUUUGUGCUGCAAAUUGAAGGAGUCCCCACAGGAGUCACCGUCGUGGUUACUUGCUGCUCUUAAGAUAAUUAGUAACAAAAUAUUUGUAAACUGCAACAAAAAGCUCAGUGCAAUCUAUCUAUGAAUCUUGUGAGUUCACAUAUAAUACAGUCGAUUUAGAAUAGUCAUAAAUUUUUUUUAUUAUAAAUAUUAGUAUAUUUUUAAUGGUAUAAUAUAUAUCGAUGAAACUAUAUAGAGUAAUUUCGCCUAAUUGUAUAAAUUCAUUACGAAUAUCAUCACAAAUUUGUAUUUGGUCGGGACCGUGCGAGUGAAAUUUUUGAUAAAAUCGUCUCCUGACAAUUUAUUUAUUAUAUUCCAUUCCUUUUAUUAUCAGGUAGGCCAAAGCCAUUUGGACAUUUGAAAAAGUAUGUGAUUCUGUUUUAGUCUAUUAUGUCACGACAAAAAGAGAAUUGGAAAAUGUAACAUUCUCAAAUUAAUUUGUAGUGGAAAAGAGAAAAAUAAGACAAAAGUUGGAAAAAUCAUGCAGCCGACCCUUUUUUUUAUCUGAUUGCGCAAUAUUAGGUAGGCGAAUGCGACUUCAUCGAUAUCACACAGCAGUGGUUCUGUCAUUAAUUUUUUUCUUUUAUUUAAUUAAGAAAAGGAAGAAAAGAUAGCACAUGUUAUGAUUAUUGUGAAUUUUCCAUCCCUUAUAUAAAUUCUCAAAUUUAUUUAAAUUGUGAGUCAUAGAAGUAUAUUACCUAAACUAUUUUAUCAGGCCAUGUUCGGAUACUAGGAUUAAGUAUGGAAUUGGACUAAUUUUGUGAUUAUAUUUUAUAUCAAAUUUGGUAAGCUUAAUUGAAUUGGACUAAGGGACUAAAUUUAAGUUUAAUCCUAAAAUUAUGGGAUUAAUAAUCCUAAUUUACACAUUCCUUUAGUUGGGACUUGGGAUAAGAUUAAAGAAAAAAAGUUAUCCAUUUAUGAGACUUUAAUUUAUGUCAUUAUUUUUUAUUUAUACUUAAUAUUAAUUAAUUUAUUAAUUUAUUUUUAAUUUAUGAUUUACUUAAAAUUUAUUUUUAUUUAUUAUCUAUUAUCUGGUUAAAUUAGAACUUUACUUCUACUAACUCUUGCGAUUAAUUUUUCAUUACUUGCGUAUUUGAUAAUUUGCCAAUAAAAUUAACCAUUUAAUAAUUUCUUGCAUUAUUGAUUGUAUUAAAUUUAAUAAUCACUAAUAUAAUAUUAAAAAUAAUCAUGAAAAUUAAUAAUACCUUCAAUUAAUUGAUUUUAUAUACUUUUUUUAAAUAUUUGAUAAGAAGUUGAUAAAAAUUAAUUAAGGAUUUAAAAUUUUAUUCAUUUUUUAUUUAUUUAUUUUAUCAUGAAUACCCAGUAUCUUACAAUAUAAUUAAUUUUCUUAUUCAGACUACUCAGCAUCAGCUCCUGUAAAAUUUCUUACAUUAUAAGCAACAAAAUAUUUAUAAACUACAACAAAAGGCUUAGAUCAAUCCACCGAUGAACCUUUUGAAGUUAUAUAUAAUAUAUUAAUUGUUGAUCUAGAAUAGUCUUAGUGGAUAGAUUUUUUUAAUUAUAAAUAUUAAUAAAUUUUUUAUCGUUUAAUAGAUAUUGAUGAAAUUAUAUGGAGUAAUUUCGCCUAAUCAUAUUAAUUCAUUAUGAAUUUCAGCACAAAUUUGUAUGUGAUCGAUCUGGACCGUGUAAGUGAAAUUUAUUUACUAUAUUUUUCAACUUGGCCGACAACAUCUUUUUGUCAGGUAGGCAAAAGCAAAAGCCAUUAUCUCAUUAAUUGAUUUGGUCAUUUGAGAAUGUAACUCUAUUAUGCCGUGACAAACUCCAAGAUCUAAUUUAGAGAGCGACCCAAAUAAUGGUAAUUAGUAAUUUAUUACAUCUGCAGUUAGAUAGAUACUUUGUCUGGGAAAAAAAUAAAAUCAGUUUUAUAAUGAUUUUAAUUAAUUCAUUUGGUCAUUUGAAAAAGUUGUGGCUCUGUUUUAGUCCAGUGUCAAUAUAUAACUUUAUUAUGUCAUGACAAACUUUAAAAUUUAAUUUAGAGUGUGACUCGAAUAAUUUUAAUUAGUAAUUUAUUAUAUCUACAGUCGGAUACUUUGUUGAGAAAAAAAAAAAUAAAAUCUGUCCCAUAAUGAUUUUAAUAAAUAUCAUACUAUUGUCUACGGACUUACCUCAUAUUACAAAGAAUUAAAAUAUGCGAAAGAUAACUAAGGAAUAAAAUUUUUCCACAAUGAUUUAUAAAAUUGCUUUUGAAGAACGGUUAUGAUAUUAUAUUAAAUUACUAAGAAUUUAGUUAACCUCUCAAGAAGUCUAUUUGGUUGACUUCUCGAGUUUAAAAUUCGAAUGUCAAAAAAGAUAAAAGGUUAAAAAAAUAUUUUAAAUAUUAUCCACCCUUUUACUAUUUUAAUAUACAAAAAGAAGAAUUACUUGUUUUUAACAAUAGCAACCGGGGGCAUAAUAUAUCUGAUGGAUUUUUUUAAGGAACAAAACUUAUUAUAUCUCCUAUCAAAAAUGUCAUUUUUGUUAGUAAAAGGAUAUCUAUAUCUCCAAAUUUUGGAAAAAUGGUUACCAGCGCUUCCAAGUCCUAAAUUUUCAAAAAGAGACACUAAAACUCAUUUUUUACUACAAUACCCUUUACUUUUAUUAUCCCAAAAGUUAACUUUAAUUUUUUUUAUAAUAAAUAGAAAUAUAAUAUUAAAAUAAAUGUAUUAAAAUUUAAAUUAUUAUGAAAAAUAAUAAUUUUAAUAUUAUUAGUAUAUGAGACUUUUUUAAUUGUAAAAUGUAUUUAAUGCAAAUAUUUAUUUAAAAUCUCUAGAAUAAAUACAAAUAUAUUAUUAAAAUAAAUAUAAUAAUUUACAUAUUUAAAUUUAUUUUAAUAUUAUUAAUCUACUACAUAGAUUACAUUAUUUAUAUAAUAUUUGUGUUUACUAAAAAUUUGCAAGUUAAAUUUUUCGGGAUACUAAAGGUAAAGAGUAUUAUGGUCAAAAGAGAGUCUUGAUGUCAUUUUUAGAAAACUUGGGGUGUUGGUGACUAUUUCUCCAAACCAUGGGGAUAUAGAUAUCCUUUUCUCUUUUUUAUUUUAAACAAGUGGUGACUAAAGAUUAAACUGUCAUAUAUUCACAAGAUAUUCACCACAAAAUUUGUAGGAAAUUUCUUCUUCCCUAAGCGGAAAAUACAAAACAAAAACAUAAUUGGCAAUUUCACUAGCAAAACUAAUAAUACUUUUGUUCCAUAUCCAGGGGUAGAGCUCGGGGUAAAUCUUCAUGACGCCCAAAUUCAAAUUUCAAGUGUUAGCUGGGAAUUAAUUUUAGACAAUUUUAUUUAUUUAUUUAUAGCUAGUAUGUAAUUGUUAGGUAUUUCAAAAUUUGAGAAUUUUGUGAUUCUGUGAGAAUGUUGAUUCAAGCAUGUUUGCAUUCUUCUUAUAAGUACCAUAGGAGAUAUUUAGUUUUUACCCUCAAGUCAAUGUCAAUGUGAACGUUGUUUUGUGCUGCAAAUUAAAGGAGUCCCCACAGGAGUCACCGAUUUGCUUUGAGAAUUUUGAGAAUUAUGUUUUGCGAGUGAAAUUGCCAUUUUGUCAUAAUGGAAUUUUGCUUUCUGAUCAAUAAUUGAGAAUUUUGCUUGUAGCUACAGGCUGCAGCGAUUUUGAUUUGACGGCUUUGAUUCAUAAUUGAAGUUACUGUUGCAAGUAAAAACUAAAAAAAUUAACAAAAUAAAAAUCAAAGACUUAGGUCCAUGUUGCAAGUAAAAACUAAAAAAAUUAACAAAAUAAAAAUCAAAGACUUAGGUCCAUGUUUUAUCAAAAUUUUAAUAAAAGGCUAUUUGUCAUUUUGUCAUAAUGGAAAAAUGAUUAACAAAAUAAAAAAAUCGAAUUUACUUGAUUUUAUUUUACAAAAUAUAAAUUAAAUUUCUAUUAUAUGUAUAAAGUUUAUACAUCAAGUGCUUAGGGGUCAAAUCAAUCUUUUUAUACCUAAUUUUUAAUAUUUUACUUCGAAACCUCAAAAAUUUUUAAAGUUUGUUGGGUCACAAUCCCCGCUAGGAGUGGGCAAAUUUGUGUUCAUAUCAACUUGAAUAGGUUUUGGGUUGAUUAGGCUAGAACUGGAUCAGAUCAAAAAGUAUGAGAGAAAUUAAUUGAGCUUCUCCCAAGAAAAAUACAUACAGAUGAUUGAUAUAUAACCAUUAAAUAAUAAAUAUGUUAGACUUACAUUUAUUUUUUAGCCCUAAAAGUAUGAAAAAAUUAAUACUUUCCGAAUUUAUUUUUUGUACCGUAAAGAAUCAAAUUACUCACAAAAUUAUUUUUAACUUUCAUCAUGCAAACAAACAAAUCAUCAUCAAUUUCAAUAGAAAGAAGUAGAAUAUGAUGUAUUUAGGACUUCCUACUCUAUUAGCUAGGUUAAUAACAUGUUAAUUGUCACAUCAUUAAUUUUAGAUUAUAAAUUUUAUAUUCAAACUUUGUAUGACUGCUCCUUUUUCAAUGAUCUAAUGUUAGAGUGCAAUUUAUGCACUAGUUUUGCAUUGUUUACUUCCUUUAAUAUUGAUAUUUUACACUUAAUAAUAGUGAUUUACUUGUAUUUUAUUUUUGUAGGUGCAAUUCUAUUGAUUGGUGCUAAAAUUGAGAUACAAGAUGAUGUUUAAGGAUGGUUGUUCUCUUGGAUAAAUUAUGAGUGUCAGAAGAACUUUGUUGAUAAGGCGUGGGCGCGUGCUGUCAACUACGGACCUGCAGUUUUUAGUUUAAUGUGUUUUGUAUUUUUGGUUAUUUUUGUAAUUAUGAAUUUAAUGUUUCAGAUAUUAGUAUUUUAUUUUAAAUAGAACUCUAGAGGAGAAGAGAGGGAGAGUAUUUAAGGGAGGAAUCUAUUGUGAAAAAUGUGAGAGAUUGGAGAAAAAGAAAGAAACCCUAGAUCUAAACUUUUCUCUUCUCUCUAUGAAGAACUAAACCUAUUUUUCUAGUUGAAGGUUAAUGAAGCUUUGAUUCAUCACUACUGUGAGAUCUUUCUUAUGCUUUAAUUGUUUUAUUGCUUUUUGGGUAUUUGUUUAUUUUUUGAAUUAUUUUCAUGAUUAUGUUUGUUAAUUAGGUAAUUGGACACUAUUUAAUUAUCAACUUAAUCUAUUGUCAAUUCAAUGAUUCAUCGUAUGAAGAUUUUAAUGUUUGUGACAAAUAACAUAGCAGUGAGUUGUAUUAUGAGAAUAAACAAUCUAAUUUAAAUGAACCAUCGUAUGUGUUUGUUGAUUAGGAUUUGGGUCUCUCUGGUUUUUCAGGCUGUCAAUUGAUAUAAUCUUAUGAUUGUAUUUAGGGUUGUCUAUUGAUUAGGGAAAUAACCAACGGUCGUACCUUGGUUAUCGACUAGUUAAGGAGAGAUUGGCUAUUAGAGGGUCUCAGUAGCUAUAACCGGUGUAUUCAUAAGUAGUAAUAAUUUAUAUUUGAAUCAAUGAUUAGUAGUCGAAUCAAGCUCAGUUAAUUCCUUCAACCAAAGCUUUCUCCAAUUUGAAUUACAACUUUAAUUUGCAUUCUAGUUAUUUUAAUUUGAUUUCUAUUAUUGUCAACAACUCCCCCAUUUUACGUUUUACAUUUUAAAAGGAUUUAAAUAAUUACCGAUCUCUGUGAACACGACCCUGCUCAAUCAUUAUACAUAAUUUAUUUAGAGUAUGUAUUUAUUUUUGCUGUCUUCGACAAUCAUCAAAUUUUGGCGCCGUUGCCGGGGAUUGGUGUCGUUUAUUUAAUCCUUUUUACAUUUUACUUGGUGUAUGGUUCAUUCUUCUCGUACAGGUACACUUUCGUUUGAUCCUGAAAUUGAGAAGACAGCUCGCCAGCUGAGACAGCAGACGAAGCAAGCUAAGCAACGAUUCUCGUCGCCUUUGCUUUUUGAAACAGAUACAGUGUCUGAUUUGAUUGAAUCAUCUAGCGAUUCAGAAGAACAAGUGAUGGAUAGAGCUGCACCUGUAGAAAGAACUCUUAAAGAGUUAGCUGAACCAGACUUGAAUCAGCAACCACUCUGCAUUCAAUAUGUAGACUUGGAGGUAAAUUUUGAAUUAAAGUCUGGUCUUAUUAAUUUAUUACUCAAGUUUCAUGGUUUUGCAGGUGAAGAUCAUCAUAAACAUCUCAAGGAGUUUCAUGUUGUGUGCUCAAGUAUGAGGCCACAAGGCGUGACUGAAGAGCAGAUUAAGCUGUGUGCUUUUCCGUUCUCUGCAGAUGGGCUAGCUAAAGACUCGUUGUACUACUUGCCUCCUGGAUUGAGUACAACGUGGAAUGGUUUGAAGAAGCAGUUCCUUGAGAAGUACUUUCCUGCUUCAAGAGCUGCCAACAUCAGAAAAGAUAUUUGUGGGAUCAGACAACUUCCUGGGGAGAUUUUGUAUGAGUAUUGGGAGUGAUUCAAACAAUUGUGUGCCAGCUGUCCUCAGCAUCAGAUUUCUGAUCAACUUCUUAUUCAAUAUUUUUACGAAGGACUGUCAUUGAUGGAUAGGAGUAUGAUAGAUGCUGCUAGUGGAGGCGUGUUGGUGAACAAGACCCCUACUCAAGUAAGGGAGUUGAUCUCAAAUAUGGCUGCCAAUGCACAACAAUUUAGCAGCAGGCAAGAUCCCACUUCAAAGAAGGUGAAUGAGGUAAAUAUUUCUUCUGUUGAACAACGUUCAGAUAAACUUACUUCUCUUGUGGAAAAGUUUGUUUUAGGUAAUGUACAAUAGGUGAAGACUUGUGGCAUCUGUUACAAUAUGGGUCAUUCAACUGAUAUAUGUCCUACGCUUCAAGAAGAACCCGUUGAACAAGCCAAUGUAGUUGGAGGAUUUCCAGGCAAGCCUCAGAAGAGGUAUGAUCCUUAUGCACAAACAUACAAUUCAGGGUGGAAGGAUCAUCCCAACUUCAACUAUGGAGUUAGGCCGUCAGGAUUCCCACAACAGUAUCCACCAAGACAACCAGCACCUCCACAGUCAAACUCCAAGUCAGGUAUAUCUCUUGAAGAAAUUGUUAAAUCACUUGCAACUAACACUCAACAAUUUCAGCAGGCAACUACAGCAAGCAUUCAGAAUUUGGAGAACCAAAUGAGUCAAUUGGCCACUACAAUGAGCCGUCUGGAGUUUCAAGUAUUAGGGAGAUUGCCUUCACAAUCUGAGGUAAAUUUAAAGCAAAACGUUAGUACUGUCAUCCUUAGAAGUGGGAAGGAGUUACAAGAGCCUAGUAAGAAAGUGACAAAGCAUGUAGAAGAUGAGCUUGAGAAGAAUGAAUUGAUGCCUAAAUCUCAAGAUGCGCAACCCACCAAAGCGAAACCCCUACCUAUUGUGAUACCUCCUCAUUUUCUAAGCCGGUUUGUAAAAUCCAAGAAGGAGGAACAAGAGAAAGACAUCCUUGAGACAUUUCGCAAGGUUGAGGUAAAUAUUCCUUUAUUAGAUGCUAUAAAACAAAUACCUCGAUAUGCUAAAGUUCUUAAGGAACUGUGCACCUCCAAGAGAAAAUUAAGAGGAGAUGAAAAAGUUCACAUGGGGGAGAAUGUUUCAGCAGUUCUCCAAAAGAAAGUACCUCCUAAGUGCAUGGAUCCAGGUAUGUUUACUAUCCCUUGUAAAAUUGGUAGUGUUAGAGUUGAAAAUGCUAUGUUAGAUCUAGGAGCUUCUAUUAAUGUCAUGCCUCGUUCCAUUUAUUCAUCUUUGAAUGUUGGUCCAUUGAAAAAAACUGGCAUGAUAAUUCAACUAGCUGAUAGGUCUAAUGCAUAUCCUGAUGGGGUAUUAGAAGAUGUCUUAGUACAAGUUCAUGAGUUGGUUUUUCCUGUUGAUUUUUAUGUACUUGAUAUGGAAGAGGAUAACUCCUCUAAUUCUUUCCCAAUUUUGCUAGGAAGACCUUUUCUUAACACUACUAGGACUAAAAUGGAUGUACAUAAAGAGACUCUCACUAUGGAGUUUGAUGGAGAGGUUAUAGAAUUCAAUAUGAAUGAUGCCAUGAAAUAUCCUAAUGAGAAACAUUCGGCAUUUUUUGUGGAUGUUAUUAACCCUAUAAUGCAGGAAGUUUUUUACAAGGAAAAGACGAAGAAAUUUCAUGAUAGAAUGAUUUUGAGAAAGGAGCUCUCUGUUGGUCAAAAAGUUCUUUUUUAUUCUAAGCUUAAACUUUUUCCGGGUAAAUUACGUUCUUGCUGGGUUGGACCUUUUAUUAUUACUAAUGUUUUUCUUCAUAGUGCAGUUGAGAUUCGGAGUCCGACCUCUGACAAAGUUUUUAAGGUUAAUGGUCAUUGGUUAAAACCUUUUUAUAAAGGUUUUUCGGUGAAUAUUGUGGAGGAUAUGGCUCUCAAGAGUCCCAAUUAUGGAGAUUGAUGCAUAAAUGUGUCUAACCAAAGACAUAAAACAAAGGCGCUUUUUGGGAGGCAACCCAAAUGAUUUAUUUAUUUUGGUUUUUGUUAUAUCUUCUUUUCAUUUUGAUUCAGAUUUUUUAAAAAAAAUAAUGUGUUUGCUUAUUUUGGCCAGAAGAAAAUGUUUGAUAAGGCGUGCCCACGUCUUAACUAAUAAGUACUUCUGUGAUUUUUAACGUAAAAUGGUUUUAAGGCGUGCGCACGUGCUUAUUAAAAAAGUACUUCUGAAAUUUUUAGUGUCUCAAGUGAUACAUCACUAAAAAAAAAAUUAUUUUAUUUAUUUAUUUAUUUGAAAAUUAAAAAAAUAAAAAAAGUUUUUUUUCUUUUCUUUCUUUUAUAUUUUUAUUUAUUUGAAAAAAAUUUAAAAAAUGAAAAAAUAAAAAAAAAGUUUUUUCUUUUUUUCUUUUAUAUAUUUUAUUUAUUUAUUUAUUUGAAAAAAAAUUUAAAAAAUAAAAAAAUUUUACUGUUCACAAAAUCCCUAAUUCACAGAAUUAGUGUUCUUCUCCAGCCGCUCCAGCCUUCACCGAGCAGCCACGCAGCACCAGCUCCAUCCCCAGCGCGCAGCAUCAUCCCCAGCCCGCGCGCAAGCAACCAGCCCCAACCCGCGCAGCACAACCAUCUGCGAAUAACCUGAACCAACAGCCGUGUACCUGCAAGCUCCAGCCGAGCAGCAACCAUCCGCAGCCGGCCUACGCCCUGCAUUCUAGCCGCGUGAAUCAAAAUCCGUGAGUUCAAUUAUUGUAACAAUGCCGAAGAGGAAAGCAUCAACUUCCAAGUCAUCUAAAAAGACACUCGUCGCAAAGAAAUCCAAGAUUUCCGCUCCCACUACGGUUCCAUGGAACACAGUUUUAGAUUCACGCCAAGCCGUGAGAUAAAGAUCGAAACAUGGAAAAGGCAUGAGUGUUUUGCCACUUGCGGAAUCCAAUCUCAGAGGGUGCCUCACAUUCACGACUCAACAAGAGAAAGAAAUGUACAAAGAUAUUUCCAAGCGAAAAAUACUUCCAGCUAAGUAUAUUCAUUACCCGACUCUUGAAAAAUUGAAUGUCAAGAAUAGUUUUGAUUCUUUGAUAGAUAAGAUUGGUUUGCGUAAGUUUGUUGAUGUUGAUUGUUUGGGUUAUGUUGAGUUGAUUAGGGAGUUCUAUGCUACUUUUCAAUUUAAUAUACUGAAUGAUUUUACUUUGCAUACCUCAGAUGUUAUAAAGUUUAGGUUAAUGGGACGAAAUUUUUCACACUCUAUCACGGAUUUUAACCUAGUUUUAGGAUUCAUUGAUGAUGAUUAUUCUUCUAGUGAUGUAUAUUUAGGGACAACUUGUGACUUUAGCGAAAAUUUUGAGCCUUAUGGUCUUUGGCGUAAUUUAUCUGUUGAUCACAAUGCCUAUGACCCAAGUAAAUCAAAGAGUUCUUUCUUACGUGAUCCUGUUUUGAAAUGUAUGCAUCGGUUCUUAGCAUAUAAUUUUUUAGGAAAGAAAGAUCACUCAAGAGUUUUCUCUAAAACUGAGUUUUGUUUUAUCUGGUGCAUAUUAAAUGAUGUGAGGCCUAACUUAGGUUUUUGGUUAGCAGAUCAAUUUCAAAGUGUGCUUAAACGGUAUAGGACUUUAUUUCUUGGUUCAUACAUUACUCUGUUAGUUAUAAACUUAUGUGUGCUUGAUCAUGACAACAAUGAUUUAUAUCCUGCUUGCAAAAAGAAAUUUUUGGAUAUGUCUGUGUUUGAAAGAACAGGUGUGGUCGAAUUCAAGGAGGGGAAAUUUCAGUUUACUGAACCAGGACCCACCCAACUUCCAAAGAAGUUUUAUACUAGGAGUGGUGCUACCUCUGAUGACGAGUUUGACGACGAAACUGCGGCCCCACCAACUAUUCCUUUUACAUCCGCACAACCUUUGAGCAUUCAGUUAGAGAAAAUGGAGCACAAGCUGAACAAGAUGGAGCAGAAUUUGGCCUCAUACUUCGAGAGUGUGGGAUUUAUCCCACCAUUUCCACUAAGCCCAUAGACGUUAUGAGGAUCAAAGCUCACAAUUCAGGAAAGUUUUCGCCUUUAAUCUUUUAUCCUUACGCUUUAAUUUUUAUGUGAGCUUUGAUUAUCUUACAUUGGGGACAAUGUAAGUGUCUGUCAAUGACAAAUUUAACCCACUACCACCAUUCAUAAUUAACCAAAAUCAAAUAAAUUAAAAAAGAAAACACAAAACAAGGAUAACUACUAGUUGUUUUGAUCAUCCUUGCUUCUUUUUCUUAGCAUAGCUCUUGUAAUGAAAAUUAACAAAAAGGGCCAAAAGGGAAGCAUUAAACACAGUAUUGAAGCACCAACCCCAAAACCCAGGGAAACCAAAUCCCGUGAAAUGAUAAUUCAGCAUCAAAAUGAAAAAUGUUAUGGAUGGCUGUGAUGGGUCUGAGGAUGUGGGGUCCAAUGAGAGGUGAUGAUGAUGGUGAUGUUGAUGUUGAUGUGUGGUAGAGGAUGGAUGUGAGGGAGAGGUAAGUAAUGAUGGAGUGAAUGAGGAUGUGUGGGAAGAAAGCUAGGGUUUGGUCUUGAGUCCACGUGAAGUUGAAGACUUGUGGGUGGCUUACAAGCAAUAAUGGAGUGUUAAGCUGAUUGAAUUUGAAGCCAUGGCUGGUUUUGGGGGAAGAUUGAUUUGGGAGAGAUGAUGGUCAGAGGAAUGGGGGAGUUUAGAAAGUUUGGGAUAUUGUGACGGGUGUUUUAGGCAUAUUUUUUCGUCUUAGCUUAAAUUUUUGUUAAAAAAAUGAUAAAUUCUUUUCUCAUAUCAAUUUAAAACUCCGAGUAUGUUUCCAAUUCUUCUUCUAUAGUGUCUAGACCUUUGUUUCAACGGCAUCUUUGGACGCGGGUUUCUUCUUUUUUGGUUAUUUCUUCUCAAACUUGUGCAGAUUACAUGCACUCAACGUGGAACCCUUUUGAAUGGAAGUUACUGUUUUGCUGGAAUCGGGACCAAUUUUUUGACAAAAAUUUCGCUAUAAAAUAUACAAUUAAAGUCGAGUAAGAUUAAGUAAAGUAACAUCUUGUAUGGUAAAGUACAUCGAGUAAGGAUUUCUAUAAUCGAGCUAGAAAGUAUAAUUAAAAUUAGAUAAGAGUGCCGCGGAGCAUUGUUUUAAAGUUACAGUAUCAAAGUAUUUAAUAAAUAUUUAUUAUUGUGACUUAAAAAUUAAGUUGGGAGUACAAAAAAAUCAAUAAUACAUUUAUUAAUUUUGUCAAAAUUAUUAUUUAAAAAUCAUAUAUACAAUACAAGAUCAACAAUUAUAUUAUAGCUUCAGUUCCUUUUUCACAAUAACUAUAACUACAACACGGUAGUACUAAAUAGGAAGUCGAGUAUGAUCAAGUAAUUACAUGUUAUGGUUUUUUGGUAUUACAUGAUUCUUCAAACUGAAAUUUGCGAUCAAAAUUGUAUCAAAGAAAUCACAGAGACACUCUGUUUGACAAAUCUGCAGUAGAAUUUGCACAAUUUAACUGGAUUGCAGAGAGUGAAUAAGAUUCCAAAGCAACAGGCAAUUAUUGUUAUUAAGAAAACAAUUCAUCGCUAGAACAAAAUUAACUUUUCUAACAUACUAGAAUUUAACUGGAGAAAAAUUGGAAUAUACGACGUUGUAUCACAUAUAGUAUUUAGACAUCAAGAAAAGAAUCCCUCUAUUAGUGAACUAUACUUGCCAGGAAACACGGUGAAAUACCACUACCUCCCUACUAGAUUAAUGCAGCAAAAUUGGGCAAUUGACUUGAUUAACUCCAAGAAAUUUACGCAGUCACAUUCUUCCGGACUAUCCUCUUUCUUCGCACUUUAGGAGCUGUUGUUUCCCCUUACAGAGUCGACAUUCCCUUGUUUGAUGCCAAGGAGCCCAAGCCCAGAGCCAAUGGCAUUCUUUGGUAUCAACCACUUUGGGAACUUUUGAGUUGAGCCAUUGACAUCCUGAGACGGCCUGUUGUGAGCCUUCUUCAAAAGGUCAUCUGACUGAAGUAGCGGAUCCGCUUCCACUCCUAGCCAAGCAAGCCUUGAUCUUUCUCCUAAUUGGACAUUAAGAACCCUGCAUGGAAUCCAUUUGAGAAGUUGAACAAUAGACAAAGUCCAACACAUAUAGGCAGUAAAGAAGAAUUUGGACAGCAAUUACUGACUGUUUAUGCACAGGGCUGAACAAAUGGGAAUAUUAAGGCACUUAAAAGUUGGAACCAUAUUCACCACUUGUAUUUCCUCAGAGAACUAUCUCAGAGUUCUGUUAAUUUAAAACCAUUCUAACGUAUUUAACUACAAAACUAGAGAAAUCGUACUUCUGUAGCGGAGUCUCACUAUUGUUAAGGAUCUAGACUUGGAAAGUAUGCAAGUUGAUUAGGUAAAGAAAAAUUGAAAUAAUACUUGGUGAUAGAUCAACACACUUCAAUAGAAACCACACUAACAUCAUAUCAGACAAAUAAACAGAUUCCCCGAGUCAAAGUUUAACAAACAAAACAUUAAAACAAGGAUAAUUUGGUACGACCAGAAUAGUCUAUCAAUGUAUAUAGAGAGGGAGAGACCUCAAAGCAGCGCUUAAGAACAGUGCUACUCCAAUAACAUCAAUAUGGUUGAUGACCGCUCUAUCAAAUCCAUUGGAAAUCGUAUACUUAUAAUUUUUUUUUUCAAACUUUGUCUAAAAUAAAUGAAUGAGAUAAGAUAAAUUCGAAUAAAUUAAUCUGCAUAAUGACACAAGAAACAAAUGUAAAUUGACCACAAGUAGAAAUAUACUUUUGUUAUCUUCCAAUUUCUUUCCCUUGAGCUCUGUUUCUGCGAGUGCUCAAAAGCAAGACACGGGCCUUGUUAAGAGUAUAGCUGAAGCUGGUGACGUGUAUAAGCUGCUGAUGAAGCUGCUGAGCUGGCUGGCUAGUGAUGUGUAUAAAUUGAAGGUGCUGAGCUGGAUUGGGUUGUUGUUUACACCAACUAAAGCUGUAACAGAUUAUCCAGCUGGCUUGUUAUGAUUGGAAAUUAGAUUAGUUUGUUAAUACAGCAAACGAUUAGCUCUGUUUUAGUAGUUAGCCUUGAAUGUAACUAUAAAUACUGGCUAACACGUUUUCAGUGUUAAGCUUGAGUUUUAAUCAAUAAAAAUCAAUUCAGUUAAAGUUUCUUUGUUAAUUUUCUUUCACUUUCUCACUUGCCAAACAACCUAUUAAUUCUAAAAGGCCUCAAGAUAUAAUUAUCAUCAUCAAUCUUUUGCAGCCACAUGCAGUACUUGGAAAAUGUUUAUGGCCCUAAAUAACUGGAAAAUCAGAAAACAUUAAGAACAAGAGACUAAUCAUUUUAAUCGCAACAAAACAUGCACACUAUGAAAAUAUAAAAUUGAAUUACUUCGAAUGGAUGUGCCUCUUAACAGGAAUUGCACAAGCUAAUGAGCAAGUGAGCCUUGAACAGUUAUCACUCAACUCAAACUAAAAUGAAAUUACUGUGGACAUGUGAAUUAAAAAUAGAUGUAAAAGUAGUUUUCUCAAAGCAAAGUCAAGAUAAGAGAUUAACUCUGCUCCGUAAUUACAUUAAAAAUAACAAACAAUGAAAAACAGAGCUAGAGAAGAACUUACCUGUGCGUUGAGACCAUGUGGGGAAUGUGAGAUAUCUUCUUAGAUUUGGUUUGAGAAACCCUGCCAAUUAAAAUUUCGGUCCCCAUGUAGCAGAAUUUCUUAUUUUUCCUUUGUACACAAAUGCAGACACUUAAGCAAAUUAAGAUUUCUUAUCUAAAGCAAAUUAGGAUUUCUUUUGACCCUGCAAAUUACAAUUUCAGUCCCCAUGUAAUAGGAAAAUUUUGUACACAUAUUUAUAGCAAAUUAAUAUUUCAUACCUCACAAUAUUUAUCAGAACCAUCAAUCUUUAGAAACCACAUGCAGACUUGGUAAACUGUUUAUGGCCCAAAAUAACAGGAAAAUUAGAACAGAUUUUUAAGAAUGAGCGACUAAAUAUUUCAAUGGCAACUAAAAUUACACAUCUUGGAAAUCUGAAACUCAAGUACUCAGAACACUGUUAGUGCAUUGCAUAAGUCAAUUGCAUAAUCUUGGGUAAAAAUUACGCAGCAAUUAAACAAGCUGGGAACUUUAGUGCAAAUGCUUUUUCAUAAUCUUCAAUUGCAUAAGUCAGUUAGAAUCAAUCUUUCUUAAUCUUUCAAUUCACAUAUGAGAGCCUGAUAACACAAGGAAACACUGUAAGUGAAUUGUCAACUGUGACAAAUUUUGGGUAAAAAUUAUCAACUGUAGUUAUCUGCAUAACAUUUAGUGUCAACCCCAAAUUCCUUACUGAUCCGUGGAAGCAUUUCAGCCCACAGACGGUUAGCUUUGUCAAUAUACGGCAACUCAGGAUUCUAUAUUUAAACUAUGAUGUUUGAUGACUUGCUGAUACAAAAGACAUUGCCCCAAGCACUUUUUUACAUUAGCUAAAAUCAAGCCAAUCACUUCCAUUUGUUGCAGUUUUAAUGCAGAAAGAAAAAGGUGGGGAAAAAAUCUGCAAGAUGCCACUUGUAAUACCGCAUGUUCGCAGAAGCAGAGUUAAAUAAUUACAAAAUUACAUUCUUUAUGAAAGCUUGCGAUUAUUGGGAGAGCUCUACUCAAAUUUAAUGAGAUAUCUCUCAGAAGGGAGAGCUCUAAUAAUAUAUAAAGCCAAAAAUCUGACACUCAUCAAAUUGGCUUGUGAACAAUUAAUCUUCCUUGCCAUCAUAAAUGCCAGGUGUGGUGAACAAUCUUCAUUCUGACAUUUGCCUUAAUAAGCUGCUUAGUAUCCUUAACCUGAUAACUUACACAAACAAAAACAACUUCACUAAAGUUUAUUCUUUAAAGGCAAAACAGUAAACCAGAUGAUGUAUGCUGAUACAAAAAAUUGACCUGAGUUAUCCUGAUGUCAAGAAUCACAGAACCUCACGUGGGCAAAAUCAUCGCAAUACAAGAUGCUGAAUUCAAGCAACAUCUUAUCACCUGUAAUUUAAUUAAGACAAUAACUUUCCUCAACUAUUAGCCUUCUCAAUUUCAAUGUAUUAUUGGCAACUAAAUUCAUAGGGGACGCAGCUAAUUAAAUGCCCUUUUAACAAUAUCUUCCCCACCUAACAAUUAUUUGGAAAAUCUAAAUGACAAUCAUGCAUUGAUGGCAUAAAAUAUUGGCCACAAAGCUGCCUACAAAAAGGCUUUAAAUUCUUAAUGAGACAACGUAUUCGAACAAAUAUGGUGAAUGAAGAGACAAAGCAUAACACCUCAAGAAGUAAAGCUCUGUUUCUGUAUAUGCUCAAACCAAUGGAAACCCAUGGAAAUGGAUUUCUACGAAUUAGACAUGUCAGCCAAAACAGGUACUCUGUACAGGCAAAGUAAAAGAGAGUUACAAAAAAUUUUAAGAUAAUUAAACUUUUAAUAACCAUAUAAUUAAUAGAAAACUUUGUACACAAUGAUUUAUAUGAGAUUAAGAUUGUAUACCUAAGUUUUAAUUGCAAACUAAAUAUACACAACAUGAUAUUAGCAUUAGAAGACUGCACCAAAACGCACCGAAUUGAAUGUACCUCUUAACGGCCAUUGUACAUGCAUUGAAAGUUUACCGCAAAAGCUGUUUCAAACGUGAUGCAUCUUAGAGAUGCAAGAUGAGAAAUUGUUAUUACAACUAGCAUUGAAACAUGUGUGAAAACUGUUAAUGGACCUAAAUAACUUGAAAAUCAGAAAAGAUUAGGAAUGAGUGACUAAGCCUGCUAAUCGCAACUAAACGUGCAAACCUUGAAAAUCCAAAAUUGUACUCGAUGAAUGUGCAAUUGCUCAAGCAGGUAAAUUUCCUGCAAAGGCUCUUACAAACCCUCAAAGAUGAUACUCUACAUACCAUGGUAACCUGAGUAACAAAAAGAAACACAGUGAAUAUUAAAGGGCAUUCUGACAAUGCAAAUUUGUGUAAAUUAACAACUGCGGUUACCUGCAUAAUAGUGUCAAUACCGAAUUCCUUCCUCCAUGGAAGCAUGUGAUCAGCCCACAUGUGCUUUGCUCUGUAGCUUUUGAAUACCUGAAAUUGUUAUCACAACCAACGGUGAAAAAUGGGUGAAAAAAGGGUAAUAGUAGCAUAAUUGAAUUUGCUUAUAGAGGAUAAACCGAUCAAAGAAAAAAACAAGACAGAAAUGAUGAUCUUAGUACCUUAAUAUCAUGCAAUAAUAAUCAUCAUGCCUUCUAGGCAGCUAUCCAUCCUCAAUUGAAACAGAGCAGACCUGGCCAUCACUUUCUUCUUCAAAGUCCAGCAACUGAACGUUGCACACAACACCACAGUGGAAGUUCCAUCACCAGCCUAAUCCUUGAUUACCCCAAUGUUCUCCAUAGGGUCUUCAAAGUCAACCUAAAAAUAAAAUGAAAAUGCAAUGCAUUAUUAUUAGGGAUCUAGUGCUUGAGCUUGCUUUGACAUCAUGGUAUUAGCAAAUUCUGAUAUAGCCAAAAUGGUGAAUAAGAUGACGUACUUGAUAAGAAAAACCUGAUUUAACAAAUAAUUAAGGAGCCGGUAACAAUCACAGAAUCUCAUCAUGUGGGGAACGCCUUGGCAACAGAAGAUGGUGCUUUCAUUCAAGCAAUAGCAACUUUCCAAUUUCAUAAGGUAGUUUAAUGGCCCUUUUAAGAACAUCUGCACCAGCCUAAUAAUUAUUCAUGGAAAUUAAUAAUCAGAAUCAUGUUAGAUUGAGAGAUGAAACAUAAUAAGCGAUUUGGCCACCAUAUAUGCAUUUAUCACCUUCAAUUUGCUCAUCUUUGUCUAGAGUAUUGCUUCUGCAUUAACUUAAUUAGCUUGCAAGCCACCUGAACAUGGUUUUAAAUAAAGUGUAAGAGCUCGAAUUCGAACGAAUUAAUCAAAUAUGCUGACAGGAGAAACAAAAGUAAAUAACCACAAGAAGUAGAAAUAUACUUUUGUUAUAUUCAGAGCAUCUUCUUGCGUCAAGUUCUUUUCCUUUAGCUCUGUUUCUGUUUGUGCUCAAACGCAAUGGCUCAAGGGCCAAGAUAAUUUUAUGACCAUCAAUCUUUUUGCAGCCACAGCAGACUUGAAAAAAUGAUUGUGGCCCUAAGGAACUUGAAAAUUAGAAAAGAUUCAGAAUGAGUGACUAAAUAUUAUAAUUGAAACUAACUAAACAUUAUAAUCGAAACUAAUUAAACGCCUAGAAAAUCUGAAACUGAGCAAUUGCUUCUGGUGGAAACUUUACUGCAAGGACUUUCUCAAACCCUUGAAGAUCACACUCUACCUGAUAACAAAGAAACAGUCAAUAUACGAAGAUGAUUUUACUAACAAGUGAGUGCUUACACAUAUUGGAAGGAUAAUGAUGAUUCAUAACCCAAAUCCCCAAUACUCCCUAUUAUCUCACUCAAGUUCGAGCUCCCAGAAUUCACUACUGUGAAGCUCUCACAACAAAAUUCCCUUCAAAGAUUCUCUACUCAAAUUUGAUGAUGAUGUCCCUCCAAAGGAGGCAAAAAAUCUAACACUGAUCAAAUUGGUUUGUGAACAAUUAAUCUUCCUGGCCAUCAUGCAUACCAGGUGUGGUGAGCAAUCUUCAUUAUGACAUUUGCCUUAAUAAGCAGCUUAGUUUCCUUAACCUGAUAACUUACACAAACAAAAACAACUUGAUUAAAGUUUAAUAUUUAGAGGCAGAACAGUAAAGAAGAUGAUAUAUAUUGAUACUAAAAUUUGACCUGUGUUAUCCUGACGUCAAGAAUCACAGCAUCUCAUGUGGGCAGAAUCUUCGCAGUACAAUAUGCUUGCAAAAUUGAAGCAGCAUCUUAUCACCUGUAAUUUAAUUAAGACAAUAACUUUCCCCAACCAUUUCAAUGCAUUAUUGCCAACUAAAUUCAGAGGGUGCUAAUUAAAUAGCCUUUGAACAAUAUAUUCUUAUUCUUCUCCAAUCUAACAAUUAUUUCGAAAAUCUAAAUGACAAUCACGCAUCGAUGGCAUCAAAAUUUGGCUACAAAGCAGCCUGGAAAAGGCUUUACUCUCUGAAUGAGAGCAUGAAUUCGAAACAAAUAUGAUGAAUGAAGAAAAUAAGGCAUAAUACCACCAAAAGUAAAACUUUCUCCCAGGGCUCUAUGUUUCUGUUUGUGCUAAAACCAAUAGAAACCGAUGGAAAUGAAUUUCUAGGAAUUAGACAUAUCAGCGAAAACAGGUAUUCUGUACAAGCAAAGUAAAAUAGGGUUACCAAAAUUUUUAAGAUUGAUAUGAUACUUGAAAAAUAGGUUUGCACAGAAUUAAUUAUUCUGUCAUUGAGAUUGUUCUUUUAUAGAGAUUUACAGCACACAUAAAACUAUUAAAUCAGUAAACUAAAUCACUGAUUUAAGGAAAGAAUAAUUUCUAGGUAGAUUUUCCUAAAAUACAUAGAUUUGCACCUAAAUAGCUAUGUUACAGCUAAUGACUAAUUUACAGCACAUAUUUUUUCUAAUUUUCUAACACUCCCCCUCGAGCUGGUUUGAAGAUAUCCUCCAUAGCCAGCUUGCCAACUAGAAAAUUGAACUGUUUUGUGUGUAGUCCUUUGGUAAAGACAUCAGCCACUUGUUCUCCAGUAGGAAUGUGCUCCAUAUGAACCAAUCCAUUAUCUAUCUUCUCCUUGAUGAAAUGCUUGUCAAUCUCCACAUGUUUUGUGCGGUCAUGAAGGACUGGAUUGUGUGCUAUUGAGAUUGCUGCCUUGUUGUCACAGUACAACUACAUAGGAGAUGAUUUUGUCGCUUUUAACUCUUCCAACAGCCUCCUAAUCCACAUGAUCUCACAAAUGCCAUGGGUUACAGCUCUAAAUUCAGCCUCAGCACUGCUCCUAGCUACCACAUUCUGUUUCUUGCUUCUCCAAGUAACCAAAUUACCACCUACAAAUGAACAGUAUCCAGAAGUGGAUCUUCGGUCUACUUUGCAGGUAAAUUUACUGCAAAGGCUCUUACAAGCCCUCAAAGAUGAUAUUCUACAUACCAUGGUAACCUGACUAACAAAAAGAAACACAGUGAAUAUUAAAGGGCAUUCUGACAAUGCAAAUUUGUGCAAAUUAACAACUGCGGUUACCUGCAUAAUAGUGUCAAUACCGAGUUCCUUCCUCCAUGGAAGCAUAUGAUCAGCCCACAUGUGCUUUGCUCUGUAGCUUUUGAGUACCUGAAAUUGUUAUUACAACCAGCGGUGAAAAUUGGGUGAAAAAAUGGUAAUAUUAGCAUAAUUGAAUUUGCUUAUAGAGGAUAAACCGAUCAAAGAAAACGACAAGAUAGAAAUGAUUAUCUUAGUACCUUAAUAUCAUGCAAUAAAAAUCAUCAUGCCUUCCAGGCAGCUAUCCAUCCUCAAUUGAAACAGAGCAGACCUGGCCAUCACUUUCUUCUUCAAAGUCCAGCAACUGAACGUUGCACACAACACCACAGUGGAAGUAGUUCCAUCACCAGCCUAAUCCUUGAUUACCCCAAUGUUCUCCAUAGGGUCUUCAAAGUCAACCUAAAAAUAAAAUGAAAAUGCAAUGCAUUAUUAUUAGGGAUCUAGUGCUUGAGCUUGCUUUGACAUCAUGGUAUUAGCAAAUUCUGAUAUAGCCAAAAUGGUGAAUAAGAUGAUGUACUUGAUAAGAAAAACCUGAUUUAACAAAUAAUUAAGAAGCCGGUAACAAUCACAUAAUCUCAUCAUGUGGGGAAUGCCUUGGCAACAGAAGAUGGUGCUUUCAUUCAAGCAAUAGCAACUUUCCAAUUUCAUAAGGUAGUUUAAUGGCCCUUUUAAGAACAUCUGUACCAGCCUAACAAUUAUUCAUGGAAAUUAAAAUUCAGAAUCAUAUUAGAUUGAGAGAUGAAAUAUAAUAAGCGAUUUGGCCACCAUAUAUGCAUUUAUCACCUUCAAUUUGCUCAUCUUUGUCUGGAGUAUUGCUUCUGCAUUAACUUAAUUAGCUUGCAAGCCACCUACAAAUGGUUUUAAAUAAUGUGUGAGAGUGUGAAUUCGAACGAAUUAAUCAAAUAUGCUGACAGGAGAAACAAAAGUAAAUAACCACAAGAAGUAGAAAUAUACUUUUGUUAUAUUCAGAGCAUCUUCUUGCGUCAAGUUCUUUUCCUUUAGCUCUGUUUCUGUUUGUGCUCAAACAGAAUGGCUCAAGGGUCAAGAUAAUUUUAUGACCAUCAAUCUUUUUGCAGCCACAUGCAGACUUGAAAAACUGGUCGUGGCACUAAGGAACUUGAAAAUUAGAAAAGAUUCAGAAUGAGUGACUAAAUAUUAUAAUCGAAACUAAUUAAACAUACACGCCUAGAAAAUCUGAAACUGAACUUCUCAAAUGUAUAUGCCUCUUCGCAGCAAUUGCUUGUGGUGGAAACUUUACCGCAAGGACUUUCUCAAACCCUUGAAGAUCACACUCUACCUGAUAACAAAGAAACAUAGUCAAUAUACGAAGAUGAUUUUACUAACAAGUGAGUGCUUACACAUAUUGGAAGGAUAAUGAUUACUCAUAACCCAAAUCCCCAACACUCCCUAAUAUCUCACUCAAGUGAGUACGAGCUCCCAGAAUUCACUACUGUGAAACUCUUACAACAAAAUUCCCUUUAAAGAUUCUCUACUCAAAUUUGAUGAUGAUGUCCCUCGAAAGGAGGCAAAAAAUCUAACACUGAUCAAAUUGGCUUGUGAACAAUUAAUCUUCCUGGCGAUCAUGCAUACCAGGUGUGGUGAGCAAUCUUCAUUCUGACAUUUGCCUUAAUAAGCGGCUUAGUAUCCUUAACCUGAUAACUUACACAAACAAAAACAACUUGAUUAAAGUAUAAUAUUUAGAGGCAGAACAGUAAAGAAGAUGAUAUAUAUUGGUACUAAAAUUUGACCUGUGUUAUCCUGACGUCAAGAAUCACAGCAUCUCAUGUGGGCAGAAUAUUCGCAGUACAAGAUGCUUGCAAAAUUGAAGCAGCAUCUUAUCACCUGUAAUUUAAUUAAGACAAUAACUUUCCCCAACCAUUUCAAUGCAUUAUUGGCAACUAAAUUCAGAGGGUGCUAAUUAAAUAGCCUUUGAACAAUAUAUUCUAAUUCUUCUCCAAUCUAACAAUUAUUUGGAAAAUCUGAAUGACAAUCAUGCAUCGACGACAUCAAAAUUUGGCUACAAAGCAGCCUGGAAAAGGCUUUACUCUCUGAAUGAGAGCAUGAAUUCGAAACAAAUAUCAUGAAUGAAGAAACAAAGGCAUAAUACCACAAAAAGUAAAACUUUUCCCAGGGCUAUCUGUUUCUGUUUGAACUAAAACCAAUGGAAACCGAUGGAAAUGAAUUUCUAGGAAUUAGACAUAUCAGCCAAAACAGGUACUCUGUACAAGCAAAGUAAAAUAGGGUUACAAAAAAUUUUAAGAUUGAUAUGAUAAUUAAAAUUUCAGUCACCAUAUAAUUAAUAGAAAACUUUGGACACAAUGAUUUAUUGCAUAUUAAGAUUGCUAUAUAAAAUAUAAUAUUAGCAUUAGGAGACCGCACCGAAGCAUACCGAAUUGAAUGUGCCUUUUCACAGCCAUUUUACAAGCUUUGAAGCUUCACCACAAAUGCUUUUUCCAACCCGUGAACAUGGUGCACCCGAGAGAUGCAAGCUAUGAAAUUGUUACUACAGCAAGCGUUGGAACAUUUGUUAAAAAAGGAAGUUUAUGAAAAUACGCCUUUGGAUACCAGUCUUCAGGAAUCAAUUCAUCCGUAAUAACAAUUUUCAAGAAUUAUCAACUGCUUUAAGCUCAUCGACAUCACAAAGAUCUCAACUAAAAUAGAGCAGAUCCGGCCAUCACUAUCCCUUCUACUGCUCUUUUCCUUUAGAGAAUGAUUGAAUUACAGAAUGCGUGUAAGGCAUUCUUAUUCAAGGUCCAAUGAUCAAACCUUGCACUAUAACAACAGAGGUAGUAGUUUCUUCGCCAGCCUAAUCCUUGGUCUCAGGAAUGUCCUCAACAGAGUACUCGAAAUCAACCUAAAAAUUAAGAAUGAGUUGGAAAACUGUUUAUGGCCCUAAAGAACUUGAAAAUAAGAAAAGAUUAAGAAUGAGUGACUAAACAUUUAAUCGCAACUAAACAUACAAACCUUGAAAAUCUAACUUUGAAGUACUCUUGAAUGAAUGAGCAGUUGCACGAGCUGGUGACAACUAAGGUUACUGUGAAGUCUCUUACAAAUCCUUAAAGAUGAUACUUUACAUACCACGAUAACCUGAUAACACAUAGGAACACAAUAAACAUUAAAGUGUAUUCUGACAAUGCAAAUUUGUGGAAAUCAUCAGCUGUGGUUACCUGGACAAUAUUGCCAACACCAAACUCCUUCCUCAAUUGAAACAUAUGAUCAGCCCACAAAUGCUUUGCUUUGUAGCUUUUGAGAGCCUGAAAUUGUUAUCACAACCAACAAUGAAAAUUGGGUGAAAAAAUUGAUAAUAUUAGCUUAAUUCCAUAUGUUUAUAUAGGAUAAACCGAUCAAAGAAUGAAAAAAGAUAGAAACAGAGCAGACCCAGCCAUCACUUUCUUCUUCAAAGUCGCACCAUAACCACAGUGGUAGUCGUUCCACUGCCAGCCUAAUCCUUGGUCACCCCAAUGUUCUCCAUGAAGUAUUCAAAGUCAACCUAAAAAUAAAUAAAAAUGCAAUGCAGGUGGAAAUGAAAAUUCUAUAAAUUAAAUAAAAUAAAAAUGCAAUGCUUGAGCUUGAGCUUGCUUUAGCAUCAUCGUAAUAGUAAAUUUUGAUAUAUCUUUACUUCUCUGUUCUUGUUUAUUCACAACAAGAUAUCAAUAGAAGAAGAUGGAAAUGAAAUUCUAUAAAAUAAAGCAAGUGAAUUACCAACAGAACAUUUUAGCAAUCCUUUGGCUAAACUUUUCAUUUUCUUAGCAUACUCUCCUGCCUGGUGAACAUAAUUAAACAAGUAUGAAAUAAAACAAAGUGGGCUAAUGUAGUAAAAACAAUAACACAAUUACUUUAAAGAAUUAAUGUCACGUAUAUUAUAUAUAAAAAAAUACGAUUAUCAUUAUAUAAGAUAAAAUUGAUAAUUUAGUUUUCAACAUUACUGCAAACGUAUCACAGAGAUUUUGUUACACAUAACAAAUUUUCGUACAUAUGAAAAUAAAUUACAUUGCAUGAAAUUUUACAAAAGAGCACAUAUUUUUUAAAAGUAAAUAAAUAUAGAAAUUUCAACAGACUACACUUGUAUUUUUUUUUAAUUAUUUAAUCUUUAGAAAACAAGUUUAACAGAUUUGAUAACUAGGAAGUUUUACGUAUUUAUACCAUGAUUGAUUCUAUAUAGAAUUUUAAUUCAAAAUAUAAUUAUUUUUAUUAAUUUCAUUGCAAGCAACAACGAAGUAAAUUAGAGGAGGAGGAGAAAUUACCGGCGAGUGAUAAAUUACCGCGACCACUUGAUGUGGGGAAUGCGAGAUAUCUUAUGCCAGUCUUCUCCUUUCCCCUCUCUAUAACGGUUUUCCAGAAGAGGACAUCUGUCAAUAGUCAAUUCCUGCAGCGUCGUCGUCCGAAGAAGGUAAUCCGGCAGCACCUUUAAUUUGGGGCAAUACUCAAUUACCAAGGAAGAAAGACGUGGUAUGUCUGUUGUCCUGUGAUCUUCUAGAAUGGGCAGUUCUUCCAUAUUUGCACAAAAAGAAAUCCUCAGUUUCUGCAGUGCCGUCGUUCGAAGAAGGUAAUCCGGCAGCGCCUUCAAUUUGUUGCAAGAACGAACUUCCAAGGAAGAAAGACGGGGCAUGAUAGAGAUGUUUUCCUUCCUCGUAAUCCUGUAAUUCCACUCUUCCAAUUCUUCCAUGUCCCAAAUUAUGAGUGAUUUCAAUUUGGGGAAGGCAGUAACUGAUGAUGAUGAUGAAGAUGAAGACGGGCCAUCCUCACUGCUUUCUUCUAUUCCCAAAAACUCAUUACCCACUCUUUUUACACUUUUCAAGUACCAUAGUUCGAGUUUUUCCAGAGGCAAUUUUCCCAAAGGAGGCAAAUGCUCACACUUAAGGCACGAGCGAAGAUAUAAAUUCCUUAGAUUGGUCAGUGAAGUCAACCAUUUGGGAAAAAUGUUGCGUCCAUAUAAUAUAAUCCCUAAUUUCUCUACACUCAAAGGCGGUUGUAAGGCUUUAAGAAGUUGUUCAUCUUUCUCUUUCUUCCUCCUCCUUUCUUCAUCUUCCCCAUCUACGACUCUACCAAACUCAAGACGCAAACGAAGGAGGUUUUGCUGAUUGUAAAGUUGUAAUCUCUCGACCUCAUCUAAACGGGACACAUUACCCAGCCCUUCAAUUCCACAUUCUCGAAGGAGUUGAAGAUUUUUCAGAGAUUCAAGCCUACAAGUAUUGCUACCAUCAACACCUCCACCCACCACAAACUUGUCUAAUGUUCGAAGACUGGUUAAUUUGGAAAUCCCUACUGGCAUGUAUUUCAACGAAUAAGUUUCAGCAUUCAGUAAACUCCUCAUGUUCUUUAACUUCCCAAUCCCCGCUGGCAAUUCUUUAAGAUUUCGGCACCGCCUAAUAUCUAGCUUUUGUAAAUUAUAUAAUUCACACAAAGUCUUAGGUAGUCUCUCUAUGCCUAAUUCAGACAAAUUAAGAUAUCUUAAAUGUAUCAAUUUUCCGACAUUUUUUGGAAUUUCUCUAAUCAAACUUGAGUGAAGACGAACAGGCGAGGAUGAUAGCCUUAUAACUAAUGAUUCCCUUAUAACUAAUGCCCUCAAACAUGCCAAUUUACUAAAUAACUUUCGAGUUUCUCUAAUCUUAUAUGUGUUUGGACAAAAACAUAGGCGCAACAGCCUUAUAACUAAUGCCCUUAAACAUUCUUUGCUACUACUAAAAGACGAAAGGAUGCUACUAAGAGACAGAUUGAAAUCACUUCUAUCAUAAAUUAAAAGGGUACGCAAUCUAUCAAGUCCACGAAUGGAUAUAGGAAAUGAAGUGCCUCUUUGAAAAUUUAACCCUAAGUGACGGACUUUGUCACCAAAAGAGUUUAUGACUGAGUCUUUGGUACCAUUAAUUUCUACCCACAAACAUUCUUUUCUACUUACAAAUUGGGCAAAAUCAUGUAUUAUGUCAUGCAUCUUGCAGCUCAUAAUAUCAUCAUCAUCAUCUUUUUUAAACUCUUGAAAGAAAGAGCGUGCUGCUAAAAUGUUGAAAUACUCUUCCCCAAUCAUCUCCAUCUCUUCGUCUUCUUCUGUAUUAAGAUAACCUUGAGCCAUCCAUAGUGAAAUUAGUUCCUCUUUAUUCAUAUUGUAGUUUUUUGGAAAGACAGCACAAUAUGAGAAACAUUGUUUUACCAUAGAAUUGGAGGGCAAAUCGUUAUAACUCAACAACAAAGGAGCUAAAAGACCUUGCCCAAUUGCUUCUACUUUCCACAUUUCACUCUCUAAAAUUCUUUGCCACUCUUUUACUGUACUUUUAGAGCGCAAGAGAUUCCCUAUUACCUUUGCAGCAAGAGGCAGGCCUUUGCACUUAUGUGCAAUUUUGCGCCCGAUUGGUUCUAAUUUUUCACGAUCCUCAAAGGACCUACGUAGAAAUGCCAUCUGCUUAAACAGUAACCAACAUUCCCCUUCUCCCAACUCCUUGACAGGGAUAAUAUCUAUUGAUCCCAACUGUAGUGCAACUGACCUAUCACGUGUGGUAAUUAGAAUUUUACUUUCAUGGUGGCCAUUCUUUAGACAAGAAAAGAAUGGGUCCCAUUUUUUGUAAUCUACAUCCCACACAUCAUCUAAAACAAGAAAAAACUUUUUUCCUUCAAUUGAUGUAUGGAUAUGGCUCAUAAGAGAUUGGAAUUCGCUUAAAUCAUAAGCUUCUUUUGACUUGCCUAGACCUUCAAUGAUUGCUUUGGCAACCCUAAUCCUCUCAAAAGUGUCUGAUACACACACCCAUAUAACUUUUUCAAAAUUUCUUUUCACCUCAUCAUUAUUAUAGGCCAGUUGUGCAAGAGUGGUUUUACCUAUACCCCCUAACCCAACUAGUGAGAUGAUAUGAAGGCCUUCUUGUUGUUCACUACUUUGACACAACAACUUGCUUAAGAGCUCAUCUUUCUCAUUAACUCUACCGCAAACCUCUCCCUCAUCAAUCAAGGAGGUGGUUCGCACUCGCUCUGGUUUCUUGACAUUGUUACUCACAUUCUCAACAAAUUUAAACAUAUCUUUUCGAGUGGCAAUACCAUCUAGCUUUUCAUUGAUUUCCCUAAUCUUGACAGCAAUGUCAUGACGAAGACUGAGUUGUUUGAAACUGCCACAGCAGUUUGAUACAGCACAAAAGAAGGAACGUACCUUCUUCUUAUGAACGCCCUCAAUCUGCAAUUUGAGCCUUGCAGUGGUCCACUCCUCCAACACAUCUUCCAUGUCGUAAGAUGCGUCUUUGAGCUGAUCCAGCCAAAAAGUAACAUCUUUCUCGUGCUGCAUUUGCCUUUUCUCUGCAUCUUCCAGCACAAGUUGAAUGGCUUGUAGAUUGCUGGUGAGCUUUUUCACUUCUUCGUCGACACCAGUAACAAGCCUCACCUGUUGUUUCAGUUCAUCAGUUGCAACUGAGCUCAGCUGCUCCAGGAGAGAGGAAACGAUCGCAUCAACCAUUCUGACAAAGAAGAUGAGAAUUCUGAAGAGUUAUUAGAUGUGCUUUUGUUGCGAAGAUAUGAAAGAAAGGAGUUAUUGCAUUCUUUUAUACUGCAUAGAAAAGGUUUAUGCUUAUCCCCACCCCACACGUCAAUGAUUGUAGAAUGUUUAAUUUCCCUGAUUCUACUCCACUAGUUGUGAUGCGUAAUUAUAAAUAUUCUCAAGUUAUGUAUGAAAAUCCCACAAAUUUGGAUCUAGUAAUGAUUUUUAUGUAUUUUUUCAUAAUCUUCUAAAAUACUAUAUCUGCAUGUUAUUUCGUGCAGAAAUAUGGCAUUGGGUGAAAAAAGUUAUGCUUAUCCCCACCCACACGUUAGUAAUUGUAGUAGCAUCUGUAAUUUCCAUGAUUCUACUCCACGGACGAACACAUUUUUUGUACUAACAUCUUUAAAUUCCCACACGUUAGGAAUUUGGCACAUAAUCUCAAACUCGUCGCAUCUUUAACGUAUGAGGUUGAUGAAUAAAUUCUUUUCUCAUAUCAAUUUAAAACUCCGAGAUUAUGUGCCAAAUUCCUAACGUGUGGGAAUUUUACCUCCUAAGUAAUCCGGCCCACUGCCAAGUGCCAACUUUUUCUCUGUCGAGUUAAUGAUGUUGUUUUGUUUUCCUUGUUUUAAUUAAUGUUGCGGAGAGAAACAGAUCGAUGCAAAUGGCUAGCCAGGUUUUGCAGAAACCGUGAAUGGUCUUGCAUGCAUGUGACAUAAAGCUUUAUAUAUAGCUUAUUCCUCCAUCAACAUUUCAAUGGUUCCAUCUCACGUGCACUUGGCUAUGAAUAAGGUCCAUGCAUGGAUCGAUCGAUUUAGGAGUUUGGACCAUCUCAUGCUGCAGAGUUAUGUGUCAUGUAUGUGUGUUGACACUUGCCAGUUCAUUUUUGUUAUAAAGAUUAUUGAUACUCGUAAAUGUACUACUUACAAAUCAUAAAUUUUGAGUUUGACACUUUAGUUUCAUUUUGUAAUCCCUACGCUCUUUAAAUAUUUGUAAUAAUAUAUUUCAAACUUUAACUCAGACGUAAUGAAUGAAGGGGGAUCCUCUUCUUAUAUAAAUUUUUAUUUUUUAACGUUCAAGUUACAUUUGAUUACGUGUACUUAUUAUCUAGUUUUGACUAUCUAAUGACAUUUGAUUACGUGUACUUAUUAUAUGAUUUUUUUUUAAAUGAUGGGUCUGGUGAGAUUUUUUACAUCUUGGAUUAGUAGGUCAAGAACGGGCAGGGCAGGGCCUUCUCUGAAGUCAAUCUUGUGAGCAACACCAGCUUUUUGGAUAAUUGGCAGCCCCAAUUCAUAAUUUUCUCAGUUGAUGUCCAUGGCCAAAAUCUGCAACCGAAGCUUAUUCUACUCUUAUUAAUCGAGAGAUAAUUUUAUCUCUAACUAAUUUAAUUGGGAGGAAAAUUGAGAGAGAUAUCCACUCUGUCCUUAUUAAUUGAGAGAUAAUUUUACCCUUACCCAAUUUAAUUGGAAAGGAAAUCGAAUUCCAACAAUAACUAGGACUUGAAUCCAUGCACUUAAGCUAACUUUAAGUUUUAGGAUGCAUGGUUAUAAUGUUCUUUAUUUAAAUCCUAACAAAUGGUGGGACUUGAACUUGUGCCUACAAACAUUGAGUGCUUAGGGGCUGCAAAAUUUCAUAACUUAAUUUUAGUUGAUGUGGUAUGUGCCCUAUCACAUAAAUAUGUAGAUAAUAAUAAUUAAUACAUUAACAAAAUGAAAAAUAUUAGUUUACAAAAUACAAAUCCAAAUUUUUUGUGUGACAAGGGACUUAAAAGGGAGAGACUAAACAAAUGUGGUGAAAACGACAUGUAUUACUAAAACUAAAAAUACGAAGUCUAGGCAAUUGAAAACAUCGGGUUUUUUAUUUAAAUAUCCCCAAUUUGUCCUUAAAUACCAAAUUUAUACCCUAUUAUAUACAUAUACCUCACGAAGAUAGGGAAAAUAAAAAAUAACCUUAAAAAAAUCAAGAAUCCACACAUUUCUUCCUCUCAGUGCAGGAAGAUGUCGAGUACGAAGUCGGGUAAGUCGAGAAUUUAGUCGAGCAAGAAUUGGAGAUAAGUAAGUUGAGUAUAUGGUCCAGUAGGAAGUUGAGUAAGCAUAUUAAAUGAGUCCAGUAUUAAGUGGUAGAGUAUUAAGUAAAAGUCAAGUAAAUUUUUUAAACAAGUCAAAUAAAAUUUAUGUAAUUUUUAAAGAGGUUGAGUAUUAAGUCGGGUUAGUACAUUGGGUCGAGUGUUAAUAUUUUUAAAGAAGUGAAGUCUGGUAAGUUGAGCAUUCAGUCGAGUAAGAAGUUAAGGCAAUUGAAUAAGUCGAGUCUCUAGUCGAGUACGAAGUCGGGUAUAAAGUCUGGUAAGUUGAGCAUUCAGUCGAGUAAGAAGUGAAGGCAAUUGAAUAAGUCGAGUGUCUAGUCGAGUACGAAGUUGGGUAUGAAAUCUGGUAAGUUGAGCAUUCAGUCGAGUGAGAAGUGAAGGCAAUUGAAUAAGUCAAGUAUCUAGUCGAGUACGAAGUCGGGUAUGAAGUAUGGUAAGUUGAGCAUUCAGUUGAGUAAGAAGUGAAGGCAAUUGAAUAAGUCGAGUACGAAGUCGGGUAUGAAAUAUGGUAAGUUGAGCAUUCAGUCGAGUGAGAAGUUAAGGCAAUUGAAUAAGUCGAGUAUCUAGUUGAGUACGAAGUCGGGUAUGAAGUUUGGUAAGUUAAGCAUUUAAUCGAGUAAGAAGUGAAGGUAAUUGAAUAAGUCGAGUAUCUAGUUGAUUACGAAGUCGGAUCUGAAGUCUAGUAAGUUGAACAUUCAGUUGAGUAAGAAGUGAAAACAAUUGAAUAAGUCGAAUAUCUAGUCGAGUAAAAAAGUCGAGUAAGUAGAUUGAAUGAGUAGGGUAUUAAUUUUUUGUUGGCAUUUUAUUGAGGCUAUUUUUGUACUUUCUUUGGUUUUUUAAGUAUGUAUAUGCAAAGUACAGAUUUUAAUAGAUGGAUGUAUAUUUUGGGUAUUACGAGAGAAACGGGGUAUAUCCCACGCAAUUCCUUCGAAAACAUCUCUGUCAAUUGCAAUGAACAGAUCACAACCCUUCAUAAUUAAACAAAAUCAAACUUGAAAAAAAAAAUCACACACACACACACAAAACAAUCACAAAAACUAUUUGUUCUGAUCAUCCCUGCUUUUUUUUAGCGUAGCUCUUGGAAUGAAAAUUAACAAAAAGUGUCAAAAGAGAAGCAUUAAACACAGCAUUGAAGCACCAGCCCAAAAUCCCAGAGCAACCAAAUCCCGUAAAAUGAUAAUACAGCAUCAAAACCGAAACAACAAAACUAAACACAAACUGAACAAUCUAACAAUCAGUGACCAAUCUCUUCCACUUUGGCCGCAACCCCAUCACACACAAUAGAUAGUACCCGUACAUGAUCACAUGCACACUUGCAUUAGUCACAAGUGCAAUAGGAAACAAAGACUGCUUCGUCUGUAACCAAAGGUAGCACAUUACGACGACGGUUGCAUGGUGGUAGACGUGGAGGAACGUGAGCCAUUGGAUGGAUUUUGACAAAAUGAUCAAAAGGGUGUCUAAGAAUUCGAGUAUUUUGGAGAGGUAGAAGAGGUAAGCGUAGAAGAAGAGGGGCCAGACGGAGAAAUGGUGGGGGGGAAACAGAGGGUGUAAUGGAGGUGGGGCAAAUGGACGAUGAUGGAGAGAGUGCAGCCAACGGCCAUGAUGAGGGAGAGGAGGAGGAGGGUGAGGUUAUGGACGGCUGUGAUGGGCUUGAGGAUGUGGGGUCCAAUGAGAGGUGAUGAUGAUGGUGAUGUUGAUGUUGAUAUGUGGUAGAGGAUGAAUGUGAGGGAGAGGUAAGUGAGGAUGGAGAGAAUGAGGAAGUGUGGGGAAGAAGCUAGUGUUUGGUUCUGAGUCCAUGUGAAGCUGAGGAUUUGGGGGUGGUUUACAAGACAAUAUUGGAGUGUUGAGGUGAUUGAAUUUGAAGCCAUGGCUAGUUUUGGGGGAAGAAAGAUUUUGGAAGAGAUGAUGUUGAGAUGAACGGGGAGUUUAUAAAGUUUUGGGAUAAUGUGGAGGGUAUUUUGGACAUAUUGUUGUCUCAGCUUAAAUUUUGGGAAAAAGAUGAUCAAUAAGAAGCUCUUUUUUUCAUAUCAAUUUAAAACUCCGACGGUGUUUCCAAAAAUUGUUUUUCUUUUUCCGUUUUUAAUUUUAAAUCAUAAAUUUAGUAAAAGAAGUUGAAUCAAGUGAUCACUUUUUUUUUAAUGUAAAACAAUUAAUUUCUUUGUGAUUUAAGCAAAUAUUGAGUUGCAUACUUUAAAUAUAUUAAUAUUUGAUUCGAAAUUUCAUCUACCGAAACUACAAAAAUUAAUAUUUUCUAUUAAAUCAAAACCAAAAUUAAAGAUGACUCCUUGUCUGCCAACUGUCAUUAAACAAAGCCAUCACUCACGUGAAAAAAAAAAGUGAUAUAUUCAUUUUAACGUAAUUUCAUACCAACAUAUCAUUCUUUUUUUUCCAAUAAUGACCUCUUUAAUUAUAAAUAUGGUAAAAGGGGAUGGGUUCGAGGUAUGGCGUCCGGGCCUUUGUGACAACGGUAUCUUUGGACGUGGGUGUCGUUAGAUUUUUGGCUAUUUUCUGGUCAAUCAAACUGGUGGAUCACAUGCAUUUUAAUGACCUCUUUAAUUAUAAAAAUAUGGUAAAAGGGGAUGGGUUUAAGGAAUGGCGUCCAGGCCUUUGUGACAAAGUUGGAUGUGGGUGUCAUUUAGACUUUUGGCUAUUCUGCUCAAUCAAACUCGUGGAUUACAUGCACUCAACGCGGACAUUAUGGAAAUGGGAGAAAAUUAUGUUAGUAAUAGCAUCUUCAAAAGUUUCUAUACAUUUUACUCUUUAAAUAUUUAUUUACUUAUUUAUAUGAUAAAUAGAAAGGUAAAAAAAUAUAUUAUUCUCCAAAAAAACUCUUUCAAAUAAAAAUUAAGUUAAUAUUAUUUUAAUCAAAUAAUUAUUUUUUAAAGGAAAAGUUAACAGCAAUUAAAGCACUUCUCUUUCUCUCUCUAAUAAAAAGUAAUAAAAUAUUAAUUGAAGUGUUUUUUAGAACCUUAAAUGUUGAUGUGACUCUUCAAAUAAGUAAUAAAAUCUUAAUUGAAGAGCCUUUUGGUGAUGGUUUAAAACCCACUGUUUUCGUUCUAAACUAAGUGAAUUUAUCUCGUGAGCUAAGUAGUUUAGGAGAUAACUCAAAUAAUUAACUUUUAUUAGUUUAAUAAUAAGAAUUUUCGAUUAUAUUUUAAAAGGUAUAAUUCAUUACAAAAAAUUACUUAAUAAAAAUAACUUUAUUUAACAUAUUACAUUUUUUCAAUAAUAAAAUAAUUCAAAUUUUUAAUUAUUAUAACAAAAAAAAUUUGUAAUAUAAUCCAUUCAUAUACCACAUCACGUAAAAUUAACCUAGUACUACAUGUAAUCUUGUUACUACUAUUCCUAUAAUAUUCUACACAUCAUAUACUAUCAAAUUCCAUCCGGCAUGCCAAAUGUGCAAAGUUUGAGUAAGACUUGUUAAAGUUGAGAGUAACAUCUUAUAUGGCCAAGCGCAUUGAGUAUGGAUUUGCAUGAUCGAGUGAGUACAACUAAAGUCGGGUAGAGUCUGGAAAAUCCCUAUAAUGUUGAGGUUGGAGAACUAUACUUUUUAAGGUACAUAAUUAAACAAUUUUGGUAAAUAUUUACUAUUAUAACUUAAAAUUAAUUUGAUUUGAUCUCAUAUAUUAUUAUAAUAAAAAAACUUAUAAUAUCUUUAUUAAUUUUAUUAAAAAUUAUUAUUUAGAAGUCAUAUAUUUAUUACACAUUGUCAAAUUUUCAGCUUUUUGUUUUUUAACAACAGCUAGUAAUAUCAACAAGACCUAAGUUGAGUAUGAUCAAUUAAUUAAAAUUAUGAUUUUUUUUUGUAUAAAAUAAUCAUUAGAUAAUUAGUCUGUAAAGAAUAUCGGCUACUUCAAAUGGAAACUUGCGAUAAAAAAUGCAUCACAAAAGUAACAAUGACACACUAUAUAAGAAAUCUGAAAUAGAAUUUGCAAAAUUGAACUGAGUUACGGAGAGUAAAUAAGACUCAAAGGAAACAUGGGCAAUUAUUAUUAUCUAGGAAACAAUUCAUAGCUAAAACAAAAUUAACUAUACUUGCCAGGAAAUAUGGCGAAUUCCACCACCUCCUACAAGUUCUUAGGUGUCUUAGAGUUUGAUGACGACUUCCAUGCUGUCUCUUCGACAGGCAGCAAAAUUGGGCAAUUGACUACAUUAACUCCAAGAAAUUUAUGCAGUCACCUUCCUCCGGACUAUCCUCUUUCUUUGAGCUUUGGUUGCCCCUAUUUCCCCUUCAAUAGAGUCAUCACUGUUUUGUUUGAAGCCAAGGAGCCCAAGAUCAGAAAAAUGGCAUUCUUUGGUAUCAAUCCCUCGAUCCCAAAGUCACGUCACUAACUUUCUGUUGAUCGCGUAGCUAGUUCAUGUAUGCCACAGCAGCGGAAGGUAGCCUGAAGAGAAAAAACCUCUCUCUCUUUCUUGCUCAGUAACCACCUGGGCACUUUUGUGCUGAGCCAUGACAUCCUGAGAUGGCCUGUUGUGUAAGCCUUCUUCAAAAGGUCAUCUGUCGAUCUUUCUCCUAAUUAGACAUCCAAAACCCAGCAUGGAAUCCAUUUGAGAAGGUGGACAAUAGACAAACUCCAACGCAUACAGACAGUAAAGAAGAAUUUAGACGCAAUCACUGUGGCUGAAUAAAUGGGCCUAUUAAGCCUAUUAAAAGUUGGAACCAUAUUCACCACUCGCAGUUCCUUAGAGAACUUUAUCAGAAUUCUGAAAAUUUAAAACUAUUCUUACAUAUUUAACUGUAAAACAAGAGAAAUUGUACUUCCGUAGCAAAGUCUCACUAUUGGUAAGUAUCUGGACUUGGAAAGGAUGCUAGUUGAUUAAGUAAAGGAAAAUUGAAAUCAGACUUUGAGGUGAUAGAUCUAUAUACACUUUAAUCGGAACCACAUUAACAUCAUAUGAGCCAAACAAACAAAUUCCCCAGUCAAAGUUCAACAAACAAAACAUUAAAACAAGAGUAAUUUGGUGUAUCAAUGUAUAUAUAGAGAUGUCGAUCAUUGACAAAUACGUAAAAGAGGGAGGGAGAGACCUCAAAGCCGUGCUUAACAACAUUGCUACUCCAAUAACUUCAAAAUGGUUGGCGACGUCUCUAUCAAAGCCACACAAUAGCUGAUAUCUCAUGUUUGCAUGUAGUCCAAUGAAAGCACCAUAACCAAGAACAUUAGUACUCACAGAUGGGUUUGUCACAGAUAACCUGUCAGGCAAUAAAAAUUGCCCAAAUUAAACAAAUGUUAGACCGGCUUAGACAGUAA